rnacentral:lncRNA from 1 species
AUGCUCUGAAGUUGUUUCGGAAGGAGGCUAGAAUACAGGGUGAAAUGUCCCAGUGGAAACAAGAAAUUGUUAAGAAGUACUGUGCUGGGUUACCUAUGGCAAUAGUUACAGUUGGAAGGGCAUUAAGAGACAAGAGCGACUCAGAGUGGGAAAAACUUAAAAAGCAAGACCUGGUGGGAAUUCAGAAUUCUAUGGAGAUUUCUGUAAAAAUGAGUUAUGACCGUCUAGAAAAUGAGGAGCUUAAAUCCAUUUUCUUUCUUUGUGCUCAAAUGGGUCAUCAACCCCUAAUUAUGGACUUGGUGAAGUAUUGCUUUGGUUUGGGAAUACUUGAAGGGGUCUACUCGCUUGGGGAAGCUCGGGGCAGAAUAUCUACAUCAAUCCAAAAGUUGAAAAACUCAGGUUUAGUGUUGGAUGGAAGUUCUAGUAUUCAUUUCAAUAUGCAUGAUCUGGUUCGAGAUGCUGCUUUAUCUAUAGCACAGAAGGAGCAAAAUGUAUUUACUUUGAGAAAUGGGAAACUUGAUGAUUGGCCUGAACUCGAGAAGUGCACUUCUAUUUCUAUAUGCAACAGUGAUAUCAUUGAUGAGCUUCCAGAAGAAAUAAAUUGUCCUCAACUUAAAUUUUUCCAAAUUGACAGUGAUGAUUCAUCUUUAAAAAUACCUAACAGUUUUUUUAAAGGAAUGAAAAAGCUCAAAGUAUUAAUGUUGACUGGUAUUCAACUAUCAAGCUUACCAUCUUCAAUUGAAAGCCUAUCAGACCUCAGAUUGCUUUAUUUGGAGAGAUGCACCUUAGAUCACAACUUAUCCAUCAUAGGGAAGCUAAAAAAAUUAAGAAUUCUCAGCCUUUCUGGAUCUCGAAUUGAAAAUUUGCCAACUGAGUUAAAGGACUUGGAUAAACUACAAUUACUAGACAUCAGCAAUUGUUCAAUAGUCACCAUGAUUCCACCUAAUCUUGUAUCAAGGUUGACUUUGUUGGAAGAGCUGUAUGUAAGAAAGUGCUUCAUGGAAGGGUCGGAGGAAGGAGAGAGAAACCAAUGUCAAAUUUCAUUUAUUUCUGAACUAAAGCAUUUGCAUCAAUUGCAAGUGGUGGACUUAAGCAUUCCAUGUGCUGAAGUUUUUCCCAAGGAAUUGUUCUUUGACAACUUAAGUGAUUACAAGAUUGAGAUUGGGAACUUCAAAACGCUUUCAGCUGGAGAUUUCAGAAUGCCUAAUAAGUAUGAAAAGUUCAAGUCUUUGGCAUUGGAGCUGAAGGAUGACACUGACAAUAUUCACUCUCAGAAAGGAAUAAAGUUGUUGUUUAAAAGAGUUGAAAAUUUGUUGUUGGGAGAGCUGAAUGGUGUUCAAGAUGUUAUUAAUGAGUUGAAUUUGGAUGGAUUUCCACAUCUGAAACACUUAUCCAUCAUAAACAACCCUAGCAUCAAAUAUAUCAUCAACUCAAAGGAUUUGUUUUAUCCUCAGGAUGUUUUUUCCAAGUUGGAAUCUCUAUGUCUCUACGAACUAAGAAAGAUAGAGAUGAUAUACUUUAGUUCAGGUACAGAGAUUAUAUGCUUUAGUCCAUUUACAGAUUGCUCAUUCACCAAAUUAAAAACCAUCAAGGUCAAGAAGUGUGACCAAUUGAAGAAUCUUUUCUCCUUUUGCAUGGUAAAAUUGCUUGCGAGUCUUGAAACAAUUGGUGUUUCCAAUUGUGGUUCUUUAGAGGAGAUCAUUAAAAUACCUGACAAUUCUGAUAAGAUUGAGUUUCUUAAGUUGAUGUCUUUGUCACUUGAAUCAUUAUCAUCAUUCACUAGUUUUUAUACCACAGUAGAGGGGUCUUCUACAAACAGGGAUCAGAUACAAAUUACUGUUACAGAGAAUGAGCAUAGUGAGAUGGCUCCUCCUCUUUUUGGUGAACUGGUAUGAUAGUGCAUAUUUUUCCUUUAAAAUUUUUAAUUAGUUUGUGACUAAUUAUUUUUCAGUUGUAAAUAUGUUAAUUGUGUAUGUGUUUGCAGGUUGAAAUACCAAACUUAGAGAACUUGAAUUUAAUCUCAAUGAACAAGAUCCAGAAGAUAUGGAGCGACCAGCCCCCGUCAAACUUCUGCUUUCAAAACUUAAUAAAAUUAGUUGUGGAUGAUUGUGAUAAUUUGAGAUAUUUGUGUUCAAUGUCCGUGGCCAGCAGUUUGAGGAAACUGAAAGGCCUCUUUGUAAGCAAGUGUAAAAUGAUGGAGAAGAUUUUUAGCACAGAAGGAAAUAGUGCAGGCAAGGUGUGUAUAGGUGUAAAUAAGUAAAUUUUUAUAGUUGACUGAAUGUUAUGCAUUUCUGUUUAGUUUGAUUACCAAAUAAUGGUUUGUUUUCAUCAAAGUGCAGGUCUGCGUCUUUCCUAAGUUGGAGGAAAUCCAUCUCGAAGGAAUGGUUGAGUUAACAGACAUAUGGCAAGCUGAAGUGAGUGCUGAUUCCUUUUCUAGUGUCACUUCUGUGAACAUUGAUAGUUGCAAUAAACUAGACAAAAAUUUUCCGAGUCACAUGGAAGGAUGGUUUGCGAGUUUGAACAGCUUGAAGGUUUAUUAUUGUCAGUCAGUGAAAGUGAUUUUUGAAAUCAAAGAUUCUCAGCAAGCAGAUGCAUCUGGUGGGAUAGACACAAAUUUACAGGUUGUUGAUGUAUGUGGACUCCCAAAGUUGGAGCGGGUGUGGAGCAGGGAUCCAGGAGGAAUUCUUAACUUCAAAAAACUGCAGAGUAUACAAGUGUUCUCUUGUGAUAGACUGAGGAAUGUAUUUCCAGCUUCUGUGGCCAAAGAUGUUCCAAAGCUUGAAUACAUGUCGGUCAGAUGGUGUGAUGGAAUUGUGGAAAUUGUUGCCUGUGAAGAUGGAUCCGAAACAAACACUGAACAAUUAGUGUUUCCUGAACUAACCGACAUGAAAUUAUGUAACCUAUCAAGCAUCCAGCAUUUCUACAGGGGGAGACAUCCUAUAGAGUGUCCAAAAUUGAAGAAGUUGGAAGUAAGGGAAUGUAACAAGAAGCUAAAAACAUUCGGAACCGGAGAAAGGAGCAAUGAAGAAGAUGAAGCAGUUAUGUCAGCUGAAAAGGUAAGUCAUAUAGUGAGACAUAAAUGGAGAGUGAUAUUGUAAGAUGUGUGGCAUACUUAAAAAAGAUAUAGCCCUGCUAAAUAUAAUAUGGAUUAUUAAUUUAACGUCUCUCGUCCCCUAAUCCCUCUUUUAUUUAGAAUUGAAGGGAAUGUUUGAUAAUUAUUAUAUUUUUUUAGAUAUAGCUAGGAAUGAUUAAAAGACGCUAAAUUGAAGCAUCAUUAUAGCUAAUUUGAAAAUCAACUGUGAUUACACUACUACCACAGUAGUGAAAAAAGUUACUUGCAUUUUAUUCAUCAACUGAAUUAAUACUUCUCUUUAAACACAAAUUUGGUAGUUGGCCCAAAAACUGGUAGUUGAUCCUUUGAUCAAUCUAUUAAAAUUUUGACACCCAUUCACUUAUCAUAAUUAAUAUUGCUGAAGAGUAGUCCAUGGAGGCCAAUGGAAUGAUUAUAUGGGGGUUGGGAUUGAGACAGCCUAUUCCUUUUUCUCUCAUCCCCUUUUAAGUUGCUCUCAAGAUCUCUAUAUUGGGGUGAAAUUGUCCUAACAACCACAGUAAUGCGGUAGGUUUGUUGGUUUUAGGAAAAUUAUUCAGGUACUAUUUUUCAAACCCAUCUGAUAUCAUUAGAGUAACCAAUGUGCAGGCAAGGGGCGCUCCAUCAGGGAUAAGCUUCCUUCUUCAUAGUUUACUAUUUACUUUUCUUUUAUUUUUCUUUAGAUAUUCCCCAACUUGGAGUAUUUGUAUAUUGACUUUGACGAAGCACAAAAGUGGUUAUUGAGCAAUACUGUGAAGCAUCGAAUGCACCGUUUAAAAGAGCUUAGGUUAACCGAAGUUAAUGAUGGUGAACGUCUCUGUCAGAUUCUGUACAGAAUGCCAAAUCUAGAAAAGUUAUACUUGUCGGGCGCUAAAUAUUUGCUUAAAGAGUCGUCGGAGUCACGUUUGGGAACCGUAUUACAGCUGAAGGAAUUGGAUUUGUGGUGGUCGGAGACAAAGGAUAUAGGAUUUGAACGAGAACCAGUUCUACAGAGACUAGAGCUUUUGAGCUUAAAUGGGUGUGACAAAUUGAGGAAUUUGGGUCCUCCCUCGGUAUCAUUGGCUUACUUGACAAAUUUGGAAGUAUGGUAUUGUAAAGGAUUAAGGAAUUUAAUGGCAUCCUCAACGGCAAAAAGCUUGGUUCAACUUAAGUCCAUGAAGAUAGGGGGAUGUGAUGAAUUAGAGGAAAUAGUAAGCGAUGAGGGAAAUGAAGAAGAAGAGCAAAUAGUGUUUGGCAAAUUGAUUACUAUAGAACUUGAGGGGCUAAAAAAGCUGAAAAGUUUUUGCAGUUACAAGAAGUGUGAAUUCAAAUUCCCGUCAUUGGAAGUAUUGAUUGUGAGAGAAUGCCGAAUGAUGGAAAGAUUCACGGAGGGUGGCGCAAGAGCAGCAAAGUUACAAAACAUAGUUACUGCUGAUGAAGAAGGAAAAGAGGAAGCCAAAUGGCAGUGGGAAGGAGACUUGAAUGCCACCAUACAAAAAGGUUUCAACAAGGUACUUAUUCAUUUAUUUAUGAUUUAAAUAUAUUUUUAUUUAUCUUGUUAGUAUUUUUUUUAUUCGUCCUUUUUUAUUUUUGUUCUUCAAAGUUAUUAUUUUUGUUAAUUUUAAUUUUUUAAGAUAUUUUAUUCAUUUUUAAUACGUUAAUAUUUUUUUUUUAAUUUUAGCCUCUUUAAUAUUUUAAAACAUACAUUUAUAAUCCUCCACGCGAAAUUAAAAUUAAAAAAAAUACAAACUUAUAAAAUUAAAAAUGAGUAAAACAUAUUAUGGAGAUCAAAAUAAAAAAAGCAUAAAAUUUCAAGGACUAAAAUUAAAAAAAAAAACUUACCAGAGACAAAAUUAAAAAAAUAUUAACUUUCAUUUAUCAAAUACAUAUUUAAACUUAUAUUUAUUUCAAAUUCUCCUAGUUUUAUUAACUUUUCUUCUUUCCUUAAAAAAACAAAUUUUUCUUCUUUCAUGAGAUAAAAAAAAUUACUUGCCAUGAAUGGAAAUUAUAAAUCCUUGUUUUUGCCAUAAAAAGCCUUAACCAGCAAGUAUGUUAAAUUUCUUAAGAUAUAAAUAUGUUAGCUCAAAAAAACCAGCAUUUAUAUAAAUUUAUUAAUCAUUUUUGUUUUAAAAAAAUUCAUUCAUAAAAUUUAAAAUAAUACAAUUUGACUGCUUCACGUAGCCAGCGUAGUCAUAAAGAAAACUUUCCCUCAUCAUACAACUUUUCUUUUUAAUCAAAAUAAAUAAACUUCAAUUCAUAUUUGAUUGUCAUCCAUUAAUUUUUUGUUAACAUUUUUAGUCCUUCUAGAAAUUUUUGCUCAUUAUUAAUCCUAUUGUUUAUGUUAUAUUUAAGAAAAAAAAUGACUAAAAAUGGAUCGACGAACACAUUUUUAGGGGAAUUAAAACUUUAAAGAAAGAUUGAAAAUUGUUAAAAAAGAGGGAAAAAUUAGAAUAUAAAAAGAUGUGAAGUUAAAAACUUAAUUAAAAAAAAUUAACUUGUUGAUUUGUGAAAUGGAACAAGUUGUAUUUGACUUUACAUAUAUAAAAUAACAUAUAAACGUGAUAAUAAGUUAAUAAAUUUAUUCAUAUAAUUUGUGACUAUUUAUAUAUCUAUAAAAUAAAAGUCACAUGAGAAGUUAUUAUAACUUACAAGGUUGAUUUUGUAGUUGGGAAAAAGGAUUUGAAGGAAAAAGGAUGAAAGAGGUUUUAAGUUACGAUACUUUCACUAAUAUUUUAAUAAAAAAACAAACAACUAAUAUUAAUUGAUGAAAAAAAUGUCUUUUAUACAUACUGAAAAAUAAGGAUAAAAUAUAUUUUUUUCUUUUUUUGUUGAAAUAUAAAAUAUCGUGAAAAUAAAAUGACAUUAUUAGUAAAUGAUAAAAUAUUUCUUAAACAAAUCAUCCAUAAUUUCAUCAUUGAUAAAAAUAAAUUAUCAUAUUAUUUACUUAUAUAUUUUUUUUAACCUUUUGUGCAGCUAUCCAUAUUUAGUAUUUUAGCACAUGAAUGGCAGAAAGUGAAUAUUUAUUUAUACAACAAGAAUUUGUAAUUUAUAAUAAAUAAAUAUUUUAAGUAUAUAAAUUAUAUUAUAAUUAAAUUUUCUAAUAUAUAAUUUUUAACAUAUAAAUUACAUUUUAAAUUUAUGAAAAAUAAUUUAUGUUAGGAUGUAUUAUUAUUUUAAAUAAUUGAUGUUUUCUUUUAAAAAUAUUUAAAUUAAGUUAGAAACAAGGAUGCCGUCAAGUUUUCUUACGCCAAUUAUCUUAGUUUUGUUUCUCUCUGAUGGAAGGAAGGUGUUUUAAUGGUCCCCUAUGAUUGAUGAUGAAACUUGGAAUGUAAUUUUAUAAUAAACAACGGACAUAAUUGCUCCCUCCAUAUUAAUAUCUGUCUUGUCACACAACUCAGUCUCCUCAUUCUUUGGCGUUGGCUUCUUCAUCUUAUAUCAAGAUACCAAGAGUCCAUGGAUUCAUUUUUUACUAUUAAUUAUUAAUUAUAUAAAAAUUUAUUCAUUUGACUAGUGAGUUUUAAGAUAUUAGGUGUUUUUCAUUAAAAUAUAAUAAAUAUAUUUUUAAUUAAUAUGAUAAUCUCAAAGUAAAAAAAAUAUUAAAUUUAUUAUUAAGAAUUUUUCAUUGAAAGUUUAAAAUAAUGUUAACAACAAAUUCUCACAUAAAUUAAUUUAAUGAUGACAUCCACGUAUGAAUUAUAUAUAUAUAUAAUUUAAUAAAUAAGAUUAAUUAUUUUUUUUCAAUAAAGAUGAUUAUGUAUACAUUAAUAUGUCUCGAUUAUUAUUAUCCUAUUUUAUAAUAAUCUUAUGAUAAAAAAUAAAUUAGAUUAAAAUUAUAAAAAAAUUGAUUAUUAUUAUUAUUAUAAUUUCUAUCAUAUAACAUGUGUUUAAUUUUAAUCUAGACCUAUCAAGUUAACAAUUUAAUAAAAAAUAAAUAAUAACUUUUUUUUAUCAAAAUUGAUAAUAAGAUGAAUUAGAUAUUUAGUAUAUAUAUUUAAUUCCAACAAAUAUAUAUAUAUAUAUAUAUAUAUAUAUAUAUAUAUAUAUAUAUAUAUAUAAUUCUACAUUUUUACUUAUGGUUUAUCUAAAAAUAAUAAAAUAAAUCUAUGAUCUUAUAGUUUAUAUUAUAAAUAGCUUUCUUUAUUAAUUAAUAAUAGUUUUUAUAAUAUAGAGCUAUUUCUUUUCAUUUGUUAAACCAUGUUUGUUUGAAUUUUUAUUCAGAACUGUUAUAAUUUUGAGAGAGAAAAAUAUGAUUAUUUUCUUUAAGUUUAUUAAAAAAUCCAUAGAUUUUUUUCCCUGUAUCCUCACACAAAUAUUUUGUAUAUAAAAAAACAAACUAAAUGUUUCAGGUUCAUUUUUUCACACAAAAAAUGGAAAUGAAAAUUUUAAUUUUUCAGACAAAAGUAAAAAAAAAUUAUACUAUAUAAAAAAUAUUUUGGUUCCUCCAAUAUUUUUUUUUCUCAAAGUUCCGCCAAUGAUUUCAUGCGUCUCUAUGUCUAAUAUCAAGUUCCUCUCUUUUUCUUUGUCUUUUUAUUAACUAAAUUCAGUAUUAAUAAAGUAACUGAUUUAUGACUAAUCUAUCUAUUUGUUAUAAUGUAAUCGCCAGCUAUGAAACUGACAUAUUAGCCUUUUGUAAAUAAUAUCCUAUUUUGCAUGCACAGCUUUUUGAGUCUGCAAGUACUGAAUCAUCUCUUAGUCUCAUAGAUAGCCCACUACAAGUGAUAUGGCUUGACUCACGGCGGAUCCCAAAGUCGUGCUUCAGUAAGUUGAAGUCUUUGACUGUGGACGGAUGCCAAUUUUUAACAGAUGUUGUCAUACCCUUCUAUUUACUUCCUUUCUUAACUAAUUUGGAAGAAUUAGAAGUCUCGGACUGUCGUUCUGUGAAAAGCAUAUUUGAAGUGAAAACAGCUAUGGGAUUGGGAGCAGCAGCCUUCCCUAGACCUCUCCCUUUUUCCCUCAAGAAAUUGACUUUAGAGAGGCUGCCAAAACUGGAGAAUGUCUGGAAUGAAGAUCCUCAUGGAAUUCUAACCAUGCAACUUCUACAACAUGUUAUUAUUGAGAAAUGUAAAUGCCUUACAAGUGUGUUUCCGGCAUCAGUAGCCAAAGAUCUUGUGAAACUUGAAGAUCUAUUUGUGCAAGACUGUGAGGAAUUGAUGGAAAUUGUUGCAGAGGAUAAUGCAGAUCCAAGAGGAGAAAAUCUAGAGCUUACGUUCCCGUGUCCCUGUGUGAGGUCAUUGAAACUACAAGAUUUGCCCAAGUUCAAGUAUUUUUACUACUGCUCACCGCAGUUUGACAUGUUCCAGACACCUAGCGAGGAUGAAAUGGUACUAUUGUCUUACUACUUUGUCCUUACUGCAUAAUCUCAUGCCUGCAAAUUAAAUAUAAUUGCACUACUUCAUUUUUAUUGUUCAACAUGAGUGAUAUGAACAUUCUCUUAAAAUUAAAAUGUGAGAAUUUCACGUUCAUUACUAUAUAUGCUGUGUUCUAUCUUCUAUGCCUAUAAACUCCCAUUUUUCAUAUGUUUUACAUAAAUAAGUAAAAGAAUACUCUUAAGGGUACAUGUUGCAUUCAUGAUACAACAAUUACAGAGAAUCUUACACACGCCAUUUUACUGUAUCAAAUAUCAUGUAUGGAUCCCAAUCUUUAUAAACAACCUUUAUAACUGCUCUAACCUGCUUUUGCUUGGUUAUCGGUUUCUCUUGGUAGCCUACAUCCAACUUACAGUGCCUGUCACUCGGUGAAAAAGGACUGGAGAUGAUCAAGCGUGGAGAAUUUCAGAGAAACUUCUUACACAAGCUACAACCGGCGCCCAAUAUAGAGAAGCUUGUGGUGUGUGAUGGUUCCUUCAAGGAGAUUUUCUGCUUUGAUAGUCUUAAUGUGGAUGAGGCUGGACUCCUAUUACAGCUUAAAGUCUUAUGCUUGGACUCCCUUCCAGAGCUUGUUUCCAUUGGGUUAGAGAACUCUUGGAUUCAGCCCUUACUGGGAAAUUUAGAAACCUUGGAAGUAAUAGGUUGUUCUAGUUUAAAAGACUUGGUACCAUCUACAGUGUCUUUUUCCAAUCUGAAAUAUUUGAAAGUAAAAAGUUGCAAUAGCAUGCUAUAUUUGUUGACAUCCUCAACAGCCAAAAGUUUGACUCGACUCAAAAGAAUGGAGAUAGAAUGGUGUGAUUCAAUUGAAGAGGUAGUCUCUAAGAAGGGAGGUGAAUCACAUGAGGAUGAAAUAAUAUUUCCGCAGCUCAAAUGUUUGAAACUUGAAGGAUUAGGAAAGCUGAGAAGGUUCUACAGAGGAAGUUUAUUAAGUUUCCCAUUAUUGGAGGAAUUGUCAGUAAUCUAUUGCGAGUGGAUGGAAACAUUAUGUCCAGGUACCCUAAAAGCAGACAAGUUGGUUCAAGUUCAACUUGAACCAACUUGGAGGCACUCAGAUCCUAUUAAAUUGGAAAAUGACCUGAACUCUACCAUGCGGGAGGCAUUUUGGGAAAAGGUAUGUUUUCAAUUAUUUUGAUUAAAUAUGAUUGAUAUUGGUGUAUGUUGUUCUUAUAAUGCAAAAUAUACAGCGUUAGGUUAAUUAGAUUCAUCUUCAAAUUAACUUUGGCCUCAUCCAAUUUAUCUUGGAUUCUCAGCGUCGUCCAAUUUUUCGGAAAACCAAAAAACUCUUAGAAACAACAUUUAUGUGCCAAUCCAAUUUGGCUAAUAUUAAUUUUUUUUACGUUAAACUCAUAAUAUUUAAAUAAUUUAAUUUAUUUUCUAUGUAUUUUAUCAUUGCUACUUAACUUAUAUAUAUAUAUAUAUAUAUAUAUAUAUUAAUAAUAUAUAAUGAAUCCAAACUCUUUCAAGUCAUUGUAAAAAUGAUUUGAAAAUUAUUUAAUUUUUUUUAUUAGUAAACUAUUUAAUUUUAUUUAUAUUAAUCCUAUUAAAUAAAAGACACUAUCAAUCUUUUAUAAUCCACUCUUAUAUACAUAUUCAAAAUAUUUAUCUUUUAGCAAUUUUAACUAUAUAAAAAAAUUAUCUUCUAGGAUUAAGAUACUAAUUAUAUUUAAAAUCUAGAUUAGGUAAUUAAAAUGUUAGUUGUUCAUUUUUUUAAUUAUCUUUAACUUUUUGUUAUUUCUUCAUUUAUACAUAAAAAUAAUUAAAUAAAUAUUAAAAAAAUUAGAGUGACUUGAAGAAGUUUAGAUUCACUGUAUAUUAUUAUUAUUAUUAUUAAUUACUAAUACAAAUAAAAGUUAAGUAGUAUAAGUAAGGCAUAUAAAAAAUAAUUAUUUAAAUAUUAGUGAGUUUAGCUUACUAAAAUAUUAAGAGAUUCUUUUUUGAGUAUAAGAUAAGAGAUUAAUAAAAGUUAAAUAAUUUUGUUUGUCAACUUAAUUGUAUGACGUGAAUGCAAGCUCAAUCUUAUAGUAUAUAUUGUGUUGGAGAGAAAAGUAUGUUCGAGAGCAUCUAGAUCUUAUAUUUUGACGGAGAUUAAAUGUGUUGUAUUUAUUAGUAAUCAUUGCAUAUAUGAAUUUUUUAUAAGGAAUGGUCAUUGAAUUUGUGCGAUUUUCUUAUAAAUAACUCGCCAGUUGAGACCAAUAAAUAUGUUAAUUUUUUUUUUAAUUUUUCUAAGUAAGAUAAAAAAAUACUCGAUCCACUAUCUAGCUUUGAUUAUGCAUAUGUUUUGUCGAAUGAUUAAUUUUGAAUUUUGAAAAAUAAUCUACUCUUUCUGAUACAAAUAUCUAGAAACUUUUUUAUGAGUGCAACAAAGGCAUAUCAAAAAUAUUCUGGAAAAUACUUUCAUUGUGUGUAUUUGAUGAUAAAUUUAGAAUGAAUGUACUAGAAUCAACUAGUUGAAAACUGUUAUUUCAGACGAAUUCAUCCAGAAAUCAACUCAAGGAGGAGCUGAUUUUUUUUCCUUUACAAAUUAUUUAAAUAAUUUUGAAGGCAGAUUUUGAUUAGAGAGCAUCCACGAUUAACGGAAAUCUGGACUAUAAUCAGAAAUUUGUUACUUUUUAUAAUUUAUUAAAAUUGAGAGCACAUUAGUUAUUUGGUGCGAUUGGGGAUGCAUUUCUUCCUACAGAAUAAUACUACUCUUUUUUUUUAUUCUUUUACGUUUGCAGUUAUGGCAGUAUGCACGUAGGCCAUGGGAAUCAGUUCUUAACCUCAAAGAUAGCCCAGUACAAGAGAUAUGGCUUAGGCUUCACUCACUGCAUAUCCCCCCACACUUCCGCUUCAAGUACUUAGACACCUUGAUUGUGGACGGCUGCCAUUUUUUAUCAGAUGCGGUCUUACCCUUCUCUUUACUUCCUUUAUUACCUAAAUUGAAAACAUUGAAAGUUCGAAACUGUGAUUUUGUGAAAAUCAUAUUUGAUGUGACAACUAUGGGACCACUCCCUUUUGCCCUCAAGAAUUUGAUUUUAGAUGGGCUGCCAAAUCUGGAGAAUGUUUGGAAUUCAAAUGUUGAGCUUACGUUCCCCCAAGUCAAGUCAUUGUCACUGUGUGAUCUGCCAAAGUUAAAGUAUGACAUGUUGAAGCCAUUUACACAUCUAGAACCACAUCCUCUAAAUCAAGUCUCUAUUCAAAAGGUAUCAUUACUACUUGUAUAUAUAUGAACUAAAUUGCCAUCAUUAGUGUUCUUUACUACUUCUAUAUAUAUGAACCAAUUGCAUCCUGUUAAAAUUAAAAAGUUGUGAACCUUUCCCUUAUACAGUUAUAUAUGCUAUGUUGAGUCUUCUAUCCAUCUUCUACGCAUAUUGGCUUCCAUUUUUAUUUUAUUUAUCUACAUAAGUCAGAUAAUACGGCUACAGCUACUAUUCAAUAUUGAUCAUGAUGAAUUUAUAAUGGAACAUGUUGCAUUCAUGAUGUGAAACAGGAUUUGAGGUACGGUCCUUAUUCUCAUUAUUUUCUUCUACAACCUUACUAAUAAUCUCAUUUAUCACUUUUCCCGUCUUAAAAUAUUAAACUCGACAUACGGUGUGAAUAUCCUUUCUCCACCUUAUUCUUUUUAUGGUAUCCUUUUCCACCUUAUAAAUAGUUCAUUAUUUCAAUUAUAUAAAAAGAGCUGGAUCUAUAACUGCCCUAACCUGCUUUUUCUUCAUUGUUGGUUUCUCUUCGUAGCUUACACCCAACAUAGAGCACCUGGCACUCGGUGUGCAUGAACUGAAGAUGAUUUUGCGUGGAGAAUUCCAGGGAAACCACUUAAACAAGUUAAAAGUUCUUGCUCUGUUCUUUCAUACUGAGUCCGAUGUGUUUCUACAACGGGUGCCCAAUAUAGAGAAGCUUGAGGUGCUUGAUGGUUUCUUCACAGAGACUUUCUGCUUUGAUAGUCUUAAUGUGGAUGAGGCUGGAUUGGUUUCACAGCUGAAAGUGAUAUGCUGGGACUCCCUUCCAGAGCUUGUUUCCAUUGGGUCAGAGAACUCUGGGAUUGUGCCCUUUCUCAGAAAUCUAGAAACAUUGCAAGUAGUCAGUUGUUUCAUGAGUUUAAUAAAUCUGGUACCAUGCACAGUGUCUUUCUCCAAUCUGACAUAUUUGAAAGUAAAAAGUUGCAAGAGUCUGCUAUAUUUGUUCACAUCCUCAACAGCAAGAAGUUUGGGUCAACUCAAAACAAUGGAGAUAGGUUGGUGUGAUUCAAUUGAAGAGAUAGUGUCUUCAACAGAGGAAGGGGAUGAAUCAGAUGAGAAUGAGAUAAUAUUUCAGCAGCUCAAUUGUUUGAAACUUAUAAGAUUAGGAAAGCUGAGAAGGUUCUACAAAGGGAGUUUAAGUUUCCCGUCCUUGGAGGAAUUCACAUUAAAGGAUUGCGAGAGGAUGGAAAGUUUAUGUGCAGGUACAGUCAAAACAGACAAGCUGUUACAAGUGACAUUCGAAUGGAGACAUGAUAUCCCAUUGGAAACUGAUCUCAACUCUGCCAUGCAAAACCGAUGGUUAUAUUUCUGACAGGGUAUGUCUUUUUAUUCAACAUUAUUAUAAUUGUUGUUAUCAUACACCGUGUCAGUUAUAUGUUACGUGGCACGAUUAACUUAAAUUUUGAGAAGAGUUUAAUUACCGUGUUUAAUUAUUAUUAUUAUUAUUAUUAUUAUUAUUAUUAUUAUUAUUAUUAUUAACUAGCAUAAUUUUUAUAAAUUGUGUAGGCAAUGACUCCAACAUUAGAGUUAGAGGAGAUUGAUUCACCAAAAAGAAAAUGGUUAGAGGAGAUCAACGAAUUAAGUGGCUUGGUGCCUACCGAAAAAAAAAAAACAAAGUGGCCCAAUUUUAUUAUAUUUGUUUGUGUGUGAAUAAAAAAACAAAUUGUGCGUGUGGUCUACACAGUUAGUGGUGAAAUACACUGUUCUAUUCUAUUUAUUAUGUAAUGUGUGUGAUUAUAAGUCUUAAACGACCCUGGAGAAUAAAAAUGAAGUGAUGAACUGUAAGUUUGUAACACUAAAACUUGACUCUAUUGUUUUAUGACAAAAUAAAAUAAAAAUGUGUCCUAAAUUAUGUAUGUUUACUAUUCAUUUUACUUAUAUUUCAAGAUUCAAAUUCUUCAACAUAAUUCUUGAAAAAAUGUCUUCAGCAUAACUUUGAUUGUGGUAGGAGUUUAAUUAUCACUUUGUCCAUCUCCUACUAUUAGCAUCUAAAGACUGUGUUAGCUUUAAUUUAGUAAAGGCUAACAACGGGAUUGAUUAUAUCUUUGUUGUACUAAAUUGUGAUAAUGAAUUGAAAAUUUUCAUAAUUUAUUGAAAUGUUAUUUUUUUAAUUUUCAUGCGGUGUUAAUAUAGUAUGUCAAGAAAUUGUAACAUUACUAAAAAAAUCAUUUCAAAUAUCAUUUUUAAGUAUUUUUUUACGACGAUUCUCAACCAUCUCUAAAUCUGUGUUGUGAAAAUACUUUUCACCGUGAUUUUUUAAAUUCUAUAAGAAUAUUGAUUUUUACAUUGAUUUUCUUGAAAUUAUUUAGAUUGUAUUAUUUAUUAUUUAAAAAAUGUUAAAAAUAUUAGGAUUCUAAGAUGAUUUAAAAAAAAUUCUAAGAUGAUUUAAAAAAAAAUUCUAAGAUGAUUUUUAGAUUCCAAUGUUGUUUAUUAUUUUAAUACAAAAUUUCAUUAAAAUAAUAAAAUAUAAUUAUAAUAUGAUUAAAAACUAAUAUUUACAGCAAAUAAAUCACAACGUAAACUAUGGACCACAAAUUAUAUAUUUACGCAUCCAAUAUGUGGGAUCCCUAAUGCUAGAUUCCUUUCUAAAAAAAUAUUAAACAUCUAUCAAUUUGUUGUAAAUCAAAUCUAAAGUAGUUUAACACUCUAGGUUUAACAUAUUUCAAUCAAACAAUAGAAUACAACUUUACAUCUUAAAAGUGAUAUAGUUUUAGUAUUUUCAUUAAAAAAAAUUAGAGGAGACGUCUUUGCAUGUUAAAAUAUAAAAGUUAAAAAUGAAUAAUUUUUUUAAAUAAAAUAAAAUUAGUAAUAUUUAAAGGAUAACGAAAUAUUUAAUUCAACCAAACUGUAGUAGUCAUAGCUAAAUUUUUCAGAUUUGAAAUUACUAGGAUUAAACCAUAAUACUUGUUUGUCAUUUAAUCUGUGUGCAUUGAGGUAUCAUAUUGUCUUAUUUCAGAAAUAAAGAAAAACAUGGAAAGAAAAAACUAAUUAAUAUAAAAUACUCGUAACUAAAAAACUGAAGAAAAAUUAGGAUAUAUGCUAUGAUAGUAUUUACACGUGUUAAUUUUAAUUUAUCUAUAUUUUCUAUAGUAAUUAACUUUUGAUCAAAAUAAUGGAAAAUAUUUUUUGAUCAAAAUUGAAAAAUUAAUUAAAAGUUACAAAAUUAAUUUUUUUAACAUGAUCUUGUUAACUGAUUUAUUAAAUUAGAAAUAUUUAAUUAGUAAAUUAACUGUUAAGAUUGCUAGUAAAGACAUAAUAAUAUAAAAGAUAUAUUUAUGAUUUUUAUAUAAAAUUUUAUUGACUUUGUGCCGCAAUGAUGACAACACGUUCCCAUCUCUAGAGAAUGGAUAAGCCAUCCUGGACAAAUUUUAAGCGUAACAUUAUAUUCAUAAGUAACUAACUAGAGAAAUUAAAUCCCUGUCAUAUGGAAAAUGCACUACGGGAAGGUAAUAUUAUUAUUAUUAUUACUAAUUGAAAAAUAGAUAUUCUGUGUCUUAUGUCUUAAUUGUUUUUUUAGUUGGAUGUAGGUGUAAUAAUUAUCCUUUUAAAAAGUUAUUAAAUAAUAAUUACUUAUAAUUUGGGAGUGUUUUUUAAAGUAAUACAAGAAUAAAUUAGGAAUAAUAACAAAUGUAUAUAAAAACGAUUACCUUUAUUAAUAAUUAUAAAUUUACCAUGAAUUGCUAAGGACCGAAGUCAAACCACAGAAACAGCGACAACUAGCAAGCAAAUAAUGCCCCCAAUUCCAUGGGCGUAUCUUCUCUUGAAAGGCAGAUAAAACAUUUGAGCAAUGGCAUACCCACCAACUAUAAUAGAUAUCCCAACUUCAAAAGGUAAGGGAUGUUAGUAACUGCAAAGCUAAUGCCUAGUAUGUAAUCCCAUCCAACUAUAAUAUAGAUAUCCCAACUUUGCUGAUUAUUCCUUUUGGUCCAUUUCUGUCUGCAAAUGCAAGUUAAUUUGUAGUAAACAGAAAGUCUUCUUGGUCUAAAUCAUAUGAGCUGAUGCAUCAUACCCAAUUAUGGCAUAUUGACUCUGUUAUGAAAUUGAGGCGGUAAACAUUGGUGAAAUUUAUACUAAUGAGCUUAGAGUAAUCACAUAGGUAUACCUCAACCACAUUUUAACUUAAAACCUUAAUUAUAGAUUUUUUUUCUUCUUUUUCAUUUCUAUCGGAUGUAAGAUUUCAGCUCAUAGUUACACUUCAAGACACUCAUUAGUAAAAUAUGUUGGGUUUUGUGCUUUCAUAUUGAGUCCAAUGUAUUUCUGCAACAGGUAACCAAUUUAGAGAAGCUUGUGAUCCUUCGUGGUUCCUUCAAGGAGACUUUCCACUUUCCAGAGCUGAAAGUAUUACCUUUGGAGUCCCUUGGAAAGCUGGCUUCCAAUGGUUCUGAGAAUUCUUGGAAGUAUUCAUCUGUUUUAGUUCAAUAAAUUUGGUACCAUGCAGUGUGUCUUUCUCCAAUUUGACAUAUUUCGAAGUAGAUAGUUGCAAGAACAUGCUAUAUUUGUUCACAUCCUCAACAGCCAUAAGUUUGACUCAGCUUAAAACAAUGAAGGUAAGAUGCUGCAAUUCAAUUGAAGAGAUAGUGUCUAAGAAGGGGGAUGAAUCAAAUGGUGAUGAGAUAAUAUUUCAGCAGCUCAAUUGUUUGAAACUUAAAGGAUUACCAAAUCUCAGAAGCUUCUACAAAGGGAAUUUAAGUUUCCCAUCCUUGGAAGAAUUGUCGGUAAUCCAUUGCAACAGGAUGGAAACUGUGUCCAGGUACUGUAAAAACAGACAAGUUGUUAGAUGUUCAAUUUCAGAGGUUCUCAGAUGCUAUCCCAUUAGAAAAUGAUCUCAGCUCUACCAUGCGGAAGGAAUAGCCUAAUUGAUCCUUCGUCCAAGUAAUUUGAAGCACGAGAUCUUCAUUAGCUUACAUAUAGCAUCCAAUAUUUCAAAGCCGUCACAGAACUAUUGUCAUUUAAAGCUUCAACUGCACUGCUUUCAACCACAUAUCCACAUAAUCUUUUAACCCAAAUCCACUGCUAGGUCUUAGAAUUUGCUUGAACAAUGCCUUUUUGGGAACAUUCCAGUGCUCCACAUGCCUGAAACUUUUUCAUAGAUAUUUAGAUCAUUGCCAAAAUAAUAGCACUGAAAGGUAGAAACAUCAAACAUGUGCCUUCACAAUUGACAGUUUUUAUCACCUGCAUACUUUUUCCAGAUUGUGCAUCAAAGUAGUAUUUUGUGUAUCCAGUUGCUGCAGCAUAUAUCAACAUGGUCAGAUUGAAUUGCAUAUAGUAUGAAUUAUGCUAUUUUGUCUCUGUUAAAUGAGCAUUUUUCUGAAGACAACUAACUGCCUCUAAUUCUACUAGAAUACAGAACCAUGUUUAUUAGCCCUUGCAACCAAUAGUAUAAAAAACACAAGAAAGCAGAAGGAUCCAGUGAAAUGCAGAUAAAACAUACAACAAAUAUUUAUAGUAAUAUGAGACCGGCUAGGAAAUUUUGGCCUUCCACGGUUCAACUAAUGGAAUAUACACUGAUAAGCUCGAAAUGUACCAGAAAGAAUGGGCUUCCAAGGAAAGGACAAGAUACAGUUGAAUCGCCAGUGUCCAAUUCCUCUAUCCUGUCAUGGAACCAUAUCUAUUAAAACACUAAGCUUUCUGUAGAAAGAGUACAACAUGCAAUGAGCACAACAUGCUCUUAACUAGGACUAUUACUUGCAAAACUAAAUUUAGGAAAGGAAUAAAGUUGUAUCAAAAGUUUCUUCACUUCAAAAUCUUCCCACUUCAUAAGCUGCAUGUUUGAGUUCUCCAGAUGGGAUCCAAAAUUAGUUCAGUUCCUUUUGAGUCGCUGAAGCCCUUUAAAUGAGCCUGCAGUACUGGAAGUACACUUCAAGUAUGGCCCUUUUCUGCUAGUCUUCAUACACAUUUAAUGUCAGAUCUCCUGAUGAAAGAACAUACUCCGGUACUGGAAGUACACUUCAAGUAUGCCCCUUUUCUGUGUAGUAAUUCCUAUCCUCCACACUCUCCCCUGAUAAGUUGAGUGUAGUGAUAUAAGACUAACAGUGAUAAUCUCUCUGCCUGUACCAAGUUGCAUCAGGGGAGCUAGCAACAAUUUGUAGUACAAGUCAUCAAACCUUGUAGAUGCAUAAGGAUUAAGGAAAUCAUGAUGCUUUUCCCUUUGAUUAAAAUAAGACAAGAAGCCAAGGUUACUUAGAAGGGUUCAAAUUUUAUAAGGAGGGCUUUAGUAAACACUCGUAAGUCAUUUAAUUUUAUAGAGGGACUGUACCAUAGAGCUUAUCAACCAAUCAGGAUCAGCCAAGGAUAAAGUAAUUAUCAAAAUAAAUUAUUUGCUAUUAAAUUUUAUGAAGCAAAAAGGUCACAUAUGUUCACAUUAAGGUCAUAUACACAACUCUCGUUUAGGGUCUGUUUGAUAGAGAUGUUAGAGAGGAGAGAAUUACGAUGAAUAGAAAUUAAAAAAAAAAAAGUAAAAAUAGGCGAGAAAAAAGUGAAAAUUAAAUGUAUUUAGUUGAAAAGAAAAAAAAAAUAAGUGAGGAGAAAGAUAGAAAAAUGAACAAAAAUAUGUGACAAUAGUAUAGUAGGUCUCAUCAUUUUUAAAAUUAUUUUCACCUUUUCAUCCACUUUUUUCCCCUAAUUUUUCAGUGCCUCACAUACCAAACACAAGUUAAAGUAAAGUCCCUCAAAAUUUUCUUUAGGCCAUCCCUGCAACCAAAUAGACCACUACGUACUAUCAUCUUUGCAAAAAAAAAUGUAACCUUCACUUGCUAAAAAAAUAUUCUUAAUUUACAUGCCAACAGAAUAUAUACAAAGGAGGGAGAUCAGUUAGAUUACUCAAAGAUAUUCAAUGAACGACAAUCACUUAUAAUCUCAAUAAAAUUUGUGUUUAUCAUGCAAGCUAUAGAAGUGCAUUGUUAUGUGAUUCCGAGUCUUUUAUUCGGAUUAGUUCCAGUGCAUCGAAACCUGUGGAUUCUAAGGUGCUGCAGCUUCUGUUGUUUCGGUGGAAAAAUCAAAGAGCUAUGCUGACUUCUCUUGAAUGAAGUCAAGGCAGUUAGUGCCAUGACACAACACAACACAAGACAGUGUGAGAGAAUCAAAGUGGCAGUUGCUGGUUGUUACCUACGGUUUGUUUAAACAUCUAAGCUUCAAACUAAUGAUAGCCAUACAAAAACAGUUUUUUUUUUCUUUUUUCUGGUCGCGGGAAUCACCAACCAAGCAUAGUUGGAAGUUAAAUUUCAACUAUUUUAAUCAACUCUAUUUUAGCAUGUAAAAUAUAAUAUACAAGAUAAAGAUUUUUUUUUUUUAAGAUUAGCAGAAGUAGAUUGAGUCUCCAGCCCUCAACAUGCAUGUUGGUGCGCGUAGGCGAAAUGAUGACAAAUAGGAGUAAAUUUUAUAUUAACACCAAAAAAUGAGUAAAUCCUAAGAUAUUUCACGAAAUACAAAAUGGUAAACUAAUUUAAGCCUUUUGAUGAUGACACAACUCAACACCCUCAAAGACAAGGUCACAAAAAACUCAUGAAACGAUGUGCUUGCCCACUAGCCUCUUUACUUCUCCUAGCAAUAGUAAUCAUAGUUUUAAUCUUCACAAUAUUUCGUGUCAAGGGCCCCAUGAUCACAAUGAACACCAUCAAGAUCACAAAGCUCCAACUGGUCAACACCACCAUGGUGUCUUGUUGAGGGAGGCUAGAGGACCACCUGGGAGGGCCAAGGCCAGAAGAACAUUGAGGAUGAAUGUCACAAUUGAUGUCAUCACGGAUCGCGUCGUUUCUAGCCCGGAUUUUGCAACGCGAUUUAGGUUCGGGGCUGUUGACUAUGAGCAGCUUCUCUAGAGUUCCUGGGCAGGUGAAGAUCUUGAACUUGAUAUUUCCACACAGGCUAUUAAGGAGCAGAGUUGUAAGCGGAAGGUUAAACUUUAGUGAUCAUGUGUAAUGUGUUAGUUUAUUUUCUUUCCUCCACUUUGUAUCAUCCAUCCAAAUUACUAUAUUAGUUUAGUUUAUCUUAGUUUCCUUGAAUAUACUUGCAAAAUUACUGUACCGAAAAUAAUGAGUGUUUACUUUCUUCUAGACAAAAGUUAAAUUGAUCAAAAUCCCUCUGUUUUGAAGAGUUGAGAUUUCAUAUUAAAACAAAUACAAUUUGCCUGUAACUAUUCUCGUAUGUUUUUUAUUUUAUUUUGGGUAAGUCUUGCGUUCCAUCAUCUUUAGCUAAGGGGAUGAAAUAGAAUGAGAGAAUUUAUGAAUAGGUUGUGGUGUGUUAUCCGAAGAAUAAUGCUACGAAUUUUCAUAAAAGUGGAGUGUUGCCUAAUUUGGAACCAUGCAGAGUGCCUUUCUCCAAUUUGACAUUUUUGGAAGUAAAAAAUUGCAACACUGCUAUAUUUGUUCACAUCCUCAACACCCAAAAUUUUGAGUCAACUCAAAAAAAAAAAGGAAAUAAGUUGGUGUCAUUCAAUUGAAGAGAUAUUCUCUGAGGAAGGGUUGAAUCACAUGAGAAUGAGAUAAUAUUUCGGCAUCUCAAUUGUUUGAAACUUAAAGAAUUACCAAAGCUCAUAAGGGUAUUAUGUCACUAAUGGAUUGCGAUUGGAUGGAAACUUUCUGGCAAGAGUAUGUCUUUUUAUUCAACAUUAUUAUAAUUGUUGUUAUAAUACACCGUGUCAGAAAUUUAGUUUUAUGAGUAUGUUAUAUGAUAAGAUUAAUUUAAAUUUUGAAAAGGGUUUAAUUACCAUAUUUAUAAUUAAAUUCAAAAAAUUUCUAUCUUUCGUUGUCUUUGUCAUAGUCGUCAUUUUAUUAUUAUUAACUAACGUAACUUUUAUAAAUUGUUUAGGCAAUGACUCCAAUAUUGCAGUUAGAGGAGAUUGAUUCACAAAAAAAAAAUGGUUAGAGGAGAAUGAUGACAAAGAGAGUUGACGGAGAUGAACAAAUCAAGUGGCCCAGUGCCUAGAGGAAAAAAAAUUACCAACUUAGCUUUGACCAAUUUGCACGCUCAUUUGACUCUUACGAAUUUUCAUUUUAAAAACUUGAUGUUGUGACUACUUUGUAAUGUCAUUCAUAUUGGGAAAAUCAUCCUCUUGCAUACAAAUUUUCUCUCCGUUUCUACAACUAUUAGUAGUAUACUAUUGCACUCUCAAUAAACUUGAGAAAAUAAAUUUUAAACAUAUAUAUUCAACGUAUUGAGCAAAAGAUAGAUUUUUUUUUAAAAAAAUUAUAAUAGAUGUGGUAAGAAAAACAAAAAAAAAAUUAUAGAUAUAAAAAUGAUAUAAGAAGAUGAAAGUUGAAAUUAUUAAAGAAAAAAAUUGAUGAUGCGAUACCAAAUUAAAAAAAAAAAAAACCCUUUCUCCAACUAGAAUUUAGCUCUUCUAGAUAAAAAAUAAAUUUCAAUUAUAGAUGAAAAAAUUAAUAGUUGAUAUUCUAACACAUUACCAUAUGACCAGAAAUUACUUAUUAUAUUCUCUUAUUUACCUAACAAAUCUCUACACAUAUUAACAAAGAUAAAAUAAUUACUUUUGUCCUUCAAUAUGUAAUCAAAUUCGCUGAUAAAUAUGUCUCUAAAAGAUAAAAAUACAAAACUUAAUUUCUGAAAGUGUAAAAAGUACAACAAAUAUGUUUUGUCAUUAACUUUUGUCCGUUAAUAAAAUAACUUACGUGACACAAAAGGACAAAUUUGUCAUUGAAAUGAUUAUCAACAUAGAUUGUCAGCAUAUAGACAUAUUUGUAAUAAUAUUUUUUUGGUUUUUUGUCUUCCAAUUCCGUUGACAAAUACAUCCCUAAAUAUAAAAAUGUAAAAUUUAGUUUCGGAAAGUAUAAGAAGUCCGACAAGGAACGUUAAUAAUGAAUUGUAUAUGAGAGAAGCUAUGAAAAAAGAGAUUGAAAACAGUAAAAUACAACAUAAAAUUUGAAUUUUUAUACUUUGAUUAUUUAUCUAUUUAUCUAUCUAUCAAAUUGUUAAUUAUUUUUUUUAAUUAAUCAAUAUAAAUACUUAUUUUCCAAAAUAAAAAAAAUCUUUAGUUUUAUGAUAUAAAAAAAUCGAGUUACCAUUUGAAAAAAUAAAAGUCUUUUAUUUUUUAAAAUUUUUUGUUUCUUCAAUUAAUUAUUAAUCUUUAUUAUGCACUAUGCAUAGUAUUCAAAUGAAAUGUAAGGUCGUUACAACACCUAAAUCAGCGAGAGAUACAACUCUACAUCCCAAAGGCAAAGAAUAAACUUCUGUAUUAAUUUUUUUUGUUUUAAAGUUGACAUUUGUAUUAAUUUGAGCAUUAUUGUAUUUUUUAUUUAGAUUUAUUUGGUUUCUUUAUCUGUUAGUAACUAUUUUCAUUUCAUAUUAUGUAUAAUAAGUGUUGUAUCGAAUGGAAGCACAUAAGGUUUAUCCAAGAGAUUUUUUCAUAUUUGAGAUGUAUAUAUAUAUUAUCAAUUAAGGAAAAUGACUUAUAAUUUCACUUUAGUUUUAUCUAGUUUAAAUUUUGUGAUAUUUUUUUAAAAAAAAAUUAGUUGAUUAAAUUCUUUUUUAAAAUAAAUAAAUUUAAUCUCGUGGUCGAUUGUAUUUUUUAUACUCAAAAUUCUCGAUAUAUUAUUUUCAAUCUAGAUAGGAGGACAGUUAAGUUGAAAUUGUAAUAUAGAAUAAUUUUAAAGAUUAAAAGUGAAAAAUUUAGUAAAAAUUUGAUAAAAUUAUAAGAUAUAAGAUAAAAAAAAUUUUAACAACAAAGAUAUAAUUAAGGUUUGAGAAGGAAAUAAGCUAAUAGAAAUAUAUAUAUAUAUAUAUAUAUAUAUAUAUAUAUAUAUAUAUAUAUAUAUAUAUAUAUUAAAAGGAAAUUUAAAAAAUAUAUUGCAUAGUUAACAAAUAAGAGUAGUAAAUUAUAAACUAAUAAUAAUAAUAAUAUGGAUUAUUAAUUUAACGUAUGUCGUCCCCUAAUCCCUCUUUUAUUUAGAAUUUAGAAUUCAAGGGAAUGUUUGAUUAAUUAUUAUAAUUUAAGAAAAAAAUUUAGUCUUGAUGGGACCCGAGAGUAACCAAUGUGCAGGCAAGGCGUAAAAUAAUGGAAGGGGACGCUCCAUCAGGGAUAAUAUAUAUAAAGUAGCUUCCUUCUUCAUAGUUUACUAUUUACUUUUCUUUUAUUUUUCUGUAGAUAUUCCCCAACUUGGAGUGUUUGGUUAUUGACUUUGACGAAGCACAGAAGUGGUUAUUGAGCAACACUGUGAAGCAUCCAAUGCACCGUUUAAAAGAGCUUAGGUUAAGCGAAGUUAAUGAUGGUGAACGUCUCUGUCAAAUUCUGUACAGAAUGCCAAAUCUAGAAAAGUUAUUAUUGUGGGAAGCUAAACAUUUGCUUAAAGAGUCGUCGGAGUCACGUUUGGGAACCGUAUUACAGCUGAAGGAAUUGGUUUUGUCGUUGUCAGGAAUAAAGGAUAUAGGAUUUGAACGAGAACCAGUUCUACGGAGACUAGAGCUUUUGAGCUUAUUUGCGUGCAAGAAAUUGAGGAAUUUGGCUCCUCCCUCGGUAUCAGUGGCUUACUUGACAAAUUUGAAUGUAAAGUAUUGUAAUGGAUUAAGGAAUUUAAUGGCAUCCUCAACGGCAAAAAGCUUGGUUCAACUUAAGUCCAUGAAGAUAAGCGGAUGUGAUGAAUUAGAGGAAAUAGUAAGCAAUGAGGGAAAUAAAGAAGAAGAGCAAAUAGUGUUUGGCAAAUUGAUUACUAUAGAACUUGAGUGGCUAGGAAAGCUGAAAAGUUUUUGCAGUUACAAGAACUGUGAAUUCAAAUUCCCGUCAUUAGAAGUAUUGAUUGUGAGAGGAUGCCGAAUAAUGCAAAGAUUCACGGAGGGUGGCGCAAGAGCACCAAAGUUACAAAACAUAGUUACUGCUAAUGAAGAAGGAAAAGAGGAACCCAAAUGGCAAGUAAUCAGUUGUUUGAGUUCAAUAAAUCUGGUACCAUGCACAGUGUCUUUCUCCAAUCUGACAUAUUUGCUAGUACAAAAUUGCAAGAGUCUGUUAUAUUUGUUCACAUCCUCAACAGCAAGAAGUUUGGGUCAACUCAAAACAAUGGAGAUAAGUGGGUGUGAUUCAAUGGAAGAGAUAGUCUCUGAGGAAGGGGAUGAAUCAGAUGAGGAUGAGAUAAUAUUUCAGCAGCUCAAUUGUUUGGAACUUGAAGGAUUAGGAAAGCUGAGAAGGUUCUACAAAGGGAGUUUAAGUUUCCCGUCCUUAAGAGAAGAGAUUGAGAGAAUAUAUAAAAAUUGAGCUGCUGAAAUAUUGUUCACCAUUCAUAUAGGAAAAGAGACUGAGAGAAUAUAUAAAAAAACAAAAAAAAAAUUCUCAUGAUUCAUCUCACCUUAAGAUUAUUGAGAUUAUGUUCAAUUUUUGACACACCAUUAAGUUUCACCAUAACUUAUGAAGUUAUAUGAAGGAAAGUGAUGUAAAUAUGUUCUUUUGUGUUAUUUUACUCUUGUCCAUUACUUCAAAAAUUAAUUAUAUCAAAUACUUUUAAUUUAAUUAAUUUGUAAGUGUAAGCUUUCAGUUGAAAGCGUGGAAAGCAUAUUUGGUAAUACUUUUUUAACUACAUGAAAAAUUAUUUUACUAGCUAAAAAAUUUGUAUAAACAAUCUCUAAGUAGUGUUCCAUCUUCUUAUCUCUUAGUUGAAAAUGUUUUCUUCUCAUUUUUAUUUCUAAUGUGUUAUUUUUUUUUUCACAAUCUCUAGUUUACCCGUUUAUAUAUUUUCAGAAAUGUAAUAGCCUCUCACAUUCGAUACUUCAAGUGCUUCCUUCAACAUGGUUGAUGAGAAUGAAUCUUUGAAGACCAGAAGAAGAUUAUUGCCAGCAAACCUCAGCAAUUUUAUAAAAGAAAUAGCAAUUGAAAAAUGAAAAGCAUUGCUUCCUUGGGCAAAGUUUUUACAGUAACUGCCAGAUUGGGGGACCAUUAUGUCAAGUAAUAAGGAUUACUUGCAUGGUACUCACUGACUCCCGAUCUUUAAUUGGUGAGGAAAGUCGCGUUUCUUUCGCUAUAUAUAAUUAUUUUACGUGUGUGGAAAAAGGGUAUAAAAGCAAUGAAAUGUUUUUAAUACAUUAUGGUAUGUUUAAUAUAUUUGAAAGAUAGAAAAUUAAUGGAGCAUUCUCCUGUUAGAGACUAACAGGAUAAAUAUAUGAGAUAAGUGCCAAAGCUAGAACACACGGAUAUCUAAGACUCGAGAAUAUAAUACUAUUUUUUAUUAAUUAAGAUCAUGAAUUCAUGGUCCUUAACGUGAAUGAUUUCUCUUAAUUUUUUUAAAAAUAAAAGUAUGAAGACACUAUCAAAUUAAAUUAAGGAUGAUAAUUGUUAAAGGAGUAGGUAUCACACAAAUACCAAUAUAUAUUUACUCCAGGGGAGAUGAUAUGGCCGCAUAUUUGGUGGAGGAUCGCAGAUGACAGUGAUAGUCACAAUAUACAGUAGUCGUAUAGCAAACAAGCACACGAUACUAUGAUGCGGAUUGCAACAUGACAGGUAUAAGAGAUUACACAACUAUUCAAAUAUUCAUACAAUAAGUUAACUAUUUUAUAAUACUGUUUAGAAAUUGUUCACCAUUCAUUUUACUUAUGUUUCAGCAGGAAAAGAGAUUGAGAGAAACUUAAACUCCCUUUGUAGAACCUUCUCAAUCUCUUGAAAAAAUGAGAUAAUAUUUCAGCAGCUCAAUUGUUCACCAUUCAUUUUACUUAUGUUUCAAAAUUCAAAGUCUUCAACAUAACUCUUGAAAAAAUGUCUUCAACAUAAUAGUCGGAAUUUACCACUUUGUCCAUCUCCUACAAUUAACAUCUGAUUGUUAGCUUUAUUCAAAGGUCAACAUCAGGAUUGAUUAUAACUCCAUUGUACUAAAUUAUGAUAGUGAACAAAAAAUUCCAUAAUUUAUUGAAAUGUCAUUUUUAAUUAUUAUUUUCAUGCGGUGUUAGUAUAGUAUGUCAAGAAAUUGUACCACUAGUAAAAAAAUAAUUUAUAAUCCACACUUAACAACAGUUUUGAAGUUAUUAUUAGUAGGUGUUGCAUAAAAUAUAUGAUGGAAGGCAGCAGCCAGACGGCGUCUAAGCAAUGCUAAAAACAUCUUUACUUGAUGACCGCACAGUGCCACCAUUAAUACUUCACAUUGCUCUUAAUUUCUAUUAGACUUGCCAUCUACUUCUAUCAUUCAAACACAUCAUAAACUUAUUGUGUAUGGAUACUCAAAAUUAAAAAGGUACUUUUUAGGGUGUUCACACUCCUUCAUGCAUACAGAAUGUUGCUCAAAAUUUUGUCAUAAAACGCUAGGUAUCUAAAAACUAUUAAAAUAUAUUAUUUAUAUUUUAAUAUACAUUUAUUUAUUAACAUUUCACUUAAAUAAAAUCAUAUUUAUACUCCAUUUCUUAAAAAAAAAUGUUAUAAAAGUUAUACAUCUUAUGUUUUUUAAAUUACCUUACGAUUAACAAUUUACUAAACAUAAAGUUAAUUUUAUAAUAAUUAAUUAUGAAAAAAAUACUACCUCUACUCUUUUUUAUUUGCAUCGCUUACAUAUUUUGUCUAAUCAUCUUAGUUAUGUUUCUUGGUAUAUUACCUCUAUUCACGAGUCUACGUCAAUGCCGCUUUCAGGAUUUGACUUUACAUUUUCAAACGUGGAUUCGACACUAGUACACACGCUUAAGUGUUUAUUUACUCCAGAUUAUUGAAUAAUUUAGAUGUAAUUGAAAUAUAAUUUGUGUACUAAGACAUAAGUUAGUUAGUGUUUGGAAUACAAUUAAUUGAAAAAGUGAAAUUUGAUUAUUGAACUUAACUUUAUAAAUUUAAAUUUAGUUAAUGUAGAUUUAAUGUAAUUUUGAUUUAUGUUUGGACUUUUUUAUGUAUAACGGAAAAGCUAGGAGAACAAUAACUUUAAGAAAAAAAAUCUCAAUUUGGAUGAAAGUUUCAUUUAAUUCAAUUAGAAAAAGUUUAGAAAAAGUUUUGUUAAACGAGUAGGUGUAACUUUUCAUCAACAUCGAAUUUUAGUUUGGGUGUCAUACACCAUUGAAAGUCUUAAUUAUGAACGUUAUUAAAAAAAUAUAACUUUUUUCUGUAAAAAAAUAUAGCUUUACUUUUAUUAUUUCUUCAAUUGAAUGUGGAUUGUGUUAAUUGAAAUGAAUUUUACAUAAACUGGUAUGAUGUUUGAAGUUUCUUAACCAAAAACAUUGUCGUUCUUUUUAACUGAUACACCUCAAACAUAGGAUAAAUUUCGCCUGCCAUGCAACUUCCGACGGUUUUGGAUAUAGUUCGAAAAACUGUCAAAAAUGUCUUUUGUCAUGUAAGUUUUGGCAAUUUCAAAUUGGUACAGAAAAUAUUGCUAAAAAAUGUCAAUCAAAGCUAUAUUGAUUGUUUAUUAAUUUAUGCUUAAACUAGUGAGGAAAUAGAAUAUUGGUAUGAUACUCAUAUUCUUUUAUUUCUUUCCCCCCACCAUUUCCUCACCAUUUAUUUUUUACCAGUCAUACUCGUAAUUCCUCUGAAAGUGUAAGUGCUGCUUGAGUCUCUUUAAAUGAAUAUUCUUAUAUUAGUAUGUUAGGAUUUGAAGGCUUUUCCUAUCUUAAAUCGAGCUAUAUUUCCCUAAAAUCUUAAUUAUAUAUAAAAACAACAACUUUAAUUUAGAGCAAUUUUUGGCUUCACUUUUAACUUUUGCUCAGUACGCAUCGCGAAUUUGGUCCUAAUUUUUGUUUUGUUGGGGACUACUUUAAAACAAAAAGAAAAUUCUAGAAUUUGACAUUCUCUCUGACUUCAAAAAGGUGGAACAUGGCAAGUAUAUGGAUUCAUCAGCACAGUCAGGUAAAGCUACACAUUCAGCAACUUGGAAAUUGUAAAUAAUUUAUUAAAAUACAACUGGUUUGAAAGAAACAUAAUUUGUUUUUCUAACUAGCGCUCCUUGUGCCCUUCUUAAUCUAUAUGUAUCUAUAUCUUUUUAAUCUGUUUUCGAUCAACUUUUUCUCAAUAGAUUUAUUAAAAUACUAUUGUUUUAGUAUGCUAAAAAAGUUUCAAAUUGUUCAAGAAUCAAGAAAAAAAUAAUUUAUAAAUAUUCUCUUUGUUUCAAAGGUUUAUUCCUUAGCUGGGUAUACUGGUAUAGCCUUCAUAUAUAGUGACGUUCCUUUUAGGAUUUUUAAAAGUUCGAUCCUUCUGAUUUGUAUCUUUUUUUAGCUCUUCUGGGAGUUUCCUCAGACUGUUUUCCCCUGUGGGGUUUGAGGUGUUUUUAUCUAUUUUUUGUCUUAAAAAGAUAAAAAAGAAGCAAGCAAACACUAUAAUAUAGGAGGCAUUUUAAACCAAAUCUAAGAACCGGUUUUUUCAUGGUGAGAAGAACCAAUCUUCGUAUUUUCGAUUAUCUGAGCUAAAAUAUAGGAGGCAUUUUAAAAGGCAAUUCCUAUUCCAAAAAAACCAAACAGUUACAUGACAAAAAAUAUAUGUAUGACUUAUUUAUAUAUUUUGAAGUUUUGAUUUAUUAGUUAGCUUCUCAGUAUGUCAGGUAGAACUUUUUCACUUGACUUGCAUAGAUGAUGCUUGUAUCAACCCAAAACUGAAGUAUUGUUGGGGUCUAAGCUCGAUCUGGUGACAAGUACAUUCUUUACCCUUAGACACUAUAUAGUCAUUCCAUAUGGAUAAGGAUGACAAUUUCUUAGAUUCUAUUUGGAAACGAAAAGGAUGUCCUAUUGUCUUAACCGAUAGAUAACAUUUUUGUCAUUCUAGAUGCAAGAGAGUCAGUGGCCAAGGAAUCUUUUGAAAACUCCUUCCACUGGCUUACUACUAGUGAGUCUGAUGAUUUGACUGCUUCAUUUAUGUCCCUCAAUUAUCGUUUUAUGACUUGUUUAUGCCCAAAUGAACUCGUUUCGUGAAAUAAUCUGGUGCUUGAAACUGCUUAAAUUCAAAUUCCAUGCUCGUGGUGUUUAAUUUGCCUAAUUAUUUUUCUGUUGACACAUUUCACUUCUGGAGAUGAUCAAGUAUUUCUGUUUAAACUUACAAAUAAUUUCCCCUGUAUUUUUCUACAACAAGCUGUUUGUGUUAAUUAUGAUGGUGAAUGUUGUAUACUUUGUCUUCCCAAAUGCAGUACAAUAUAAUCUUAAUUGUUUACAUGCAUGCUGCCCCACCCCCUCUCCUUUUCCUUAAUGAUGGAUCAUCUAAAGUGUGGAUGUACCGUGAGACAAUGAAAAUAUAAAUUACAAUGAUGAGAACAUGGAAGGAACAGUGCUCAAUCGAGCUAGAAGACCUCCUUGAUGGUAAAUCCAUAAUUUGUUAACAACGCUCUGUAUUUGAUCAGAAGUUAAAUGAUUUUUUUAUUCCAAUUCUAAGUUGUGAUUUAUUGAUCCACUUUAGACAUUCUAAUCCCUAAAAUGACAUCAUAAUUCUGAAAACCUGUAUCUAUUUAUUUUCUUGAUUUUUUAUUAUAUUUGCUUUAGUAUUGACAAGAUUAUACAAAUGUUUCUUAUUUUUAUAUGAAAUAUGUAUAUUUUUAUAUUGAAGUUUUUCAAACAUUAGUCUAUCCUCUAGUAAAUAUGUACUUACACAAUUUGAAUGUACCGAUACAACACUUCAAGUAUGGGUGCCCACUGUCCACAUGUACCCGGUAAAAAUUGAAAAAAAAAAAAACGAAUCAAAAAUUGAAAUUUUAAUAAAUUAAAAAUAAAAUAAAAAUCAUUCUUUUUAUUAAGUUGGACUGGGUUUCAUAUUUGAUUUUAAACAUCAAUCCAAAGAGAAUUUAUACAUAUACACAUAUAUUUUUGUUUAUAAAUUUAUGGCAUUGCUCUCUCUCUCACAGGCACACAAAUAUAUAUAUAUAUAUAUAUAUAUAUAUAUAUAUAUAUAUAUAUAUAUAUAUAUAUAUAUAUAUAAUUAAAGAUAAUUUUUAAUAACUAUUUGAGUAAAAUAUAUAAAUAUAAGACUUGAAUAUGUUUUUACUCUCGAAUUUGUUAUCAUUUUGUUUGUCCUCUAUAUUUAAAAUUUAAUUGUUUUUUCCUAUGAUUUGUGUGUCUUUGUUAAAUUUAAUAAAUAUAUUAUAAAUGUUUCAAAAAUAUUAUAUUAAUAAUAUUAUUCAAAUUAAUUAUAUUAUUUUUAAAAUAUAAUGAAUAUCACUAUUAAAUGCCUAUAUAAUUUUUUCUUUUGGUAAAAAUGUUUAUACAAAUAUUACAUUAAUAAAAUAUUAUAUUUUUCUAAAAAAAAUUAUUAUACUUGUUUAAAGUCUAAUUUACUUGGGUAAUUAUUCUAAAAGAUUAAUAGAUGUGCAUGAUUAUCAUAAAGAGAUAAAUUCUAGAGACAUUUGGGAGUCAAUUUCUGAGGCCCUAAUAAUAAUUUACACUUAUGGACCAACAAUCCAACAUUCUAACGACUUUCAUAGAACAAGAUAAUUAAAUAUUAGAUGACCAUCUAAUUUACUUAAACAUAAAAACAUAUACCCAUUUCUUUCAUCGCUUUUCUGUCUCAGCUGGAUAUUCUUUUUUUUAUUCGUCAUAGCACUAACUACCUCUCAAUUUCUCCCUCUUGUUUUUUUCUUUUUUCUAUGUCUCAUUUUCUUCCAUCCCAACACACCCCAAAAUGGAAUCCCAAAAUGGAAUGCAUCUUUGGCAUUUCCACUUCUUCAAUAGGCUCCGUGUCAAACCAACUUCUUUGGAUGUCAAAGACGUCCUCAACAGGUUCAGUGCCUGAGCAAAAUAGGCACAAUAAUGAACAUCACUUCUAAAUUGAAAAGGGCAUAUAUAGAGGGUAACAUGGAAGAAGUAUUGACCAAAUUAAGACAAAUGCAGACUAAAUCUAUUAAUAUGAAUCAAAUAUUCUUAAAAAAAAUAUCGUGGCAGUGCCAAGAGUGGAUUGCUAAUAUUAUUACCUCAUGUGACUUCCUGAUUUCCACCAUAUGUUCCUUCAAAUCAUCAAACUUGACAUUCCCCAGCUCUUGCAUAUACUGAAUGCUAGAAGUAGUUGUCAAUUGCCUCACUUUCAGAUCAUCGCUCACAACAAAUAGACACGGCCUCUUCAUAAAUCCCACAGCAGCUUCUCUUGCUCCAUCAUAACAUCUUGGCUCAAAAAGUUUCAGUUUUGCUGGAUAUUGUAACAUUUCUUUUUUCUUUGAAAUCAUUGUACGCCCCUCAUUAUUAUCUUUCACUACCACAGUGCCAUACCAAUACGUAGGAGUGUAUUCUUGUGAAGCAUUUAGUGGAUUGCUCCCACAACCAAAUUGAGGAGCGACCCUUGGAUUCAGUAAGGAUUUGUUUGAUGACCCUAUGAACCAUGAUGCAUUGAGCUUCUUCACACUCGCGUACAAGUUAUCAAUGCUUCCCAACGAUGAUUUGCCAUUCAUAAGGUUCAGAAUAGAUCCAAGAGGUGUUGUGAGGAAGCUGACUAGAAAAUCAACGAAAUCUCCAUCUGCUUCAGCAAACAGAACCUUGUUCUUUGAUUUGCUCACCAUUAGCUUGAUUUCUACAGAACCUUUCCAAUGACUCGGGCCAGUAUCGGGUGAGAAAGAGUACGAUGGCUCAAUUUUUUUUCUGUUUGGAAUGAAUACAUCACUUAGUGGAGAUUUGGAGGUUAAUGCGUGCUUUAAUAUGCUAAAUAUCUGAACAAGGAAGAAAAAAAAAGUAAGAACAAAGCAAGUUUUAAUUCAUCAAACAAGGAAAUUUCAUACCAAUACCAAAGUAUUCUGUAAAGGAAAGGUCUUGCAAAUCUACAACUUUACAUACAUACAUACAUGUCAUAAGUGCAAGUCACAAAAAUGUUUUGAAUCCAAUGUAUCUGAACUUUCUGCCACAAAAUAAUCAUUUUUAUCCCUUAAAUGUAUCUUUUUCAUUGGCAUAAACUUACAACUACUAUUUGUUUCCCAAUACAUAUCCAUGCUCAAACUUUUAAGUGCGCGAUUCUAACAUACUAAUUGAAGAAAAUGUCUCAUUUGAUUUAGAAAUUUGGAGGAUUGAAGAGAAACACAAGGCAAAAUCCCAGUUCCCUAACUUUUAACCAAAUGAAUAUAAAGCAAUAAUACCUCCCUCGGGCCGACAUCUUGAGACAUUUCUUGCAUCUUGCUGAAGUCUGUGUGUCCAAAUAGGAGGGGUGUUUGAAGGGAGUCACUUGGAGAGCUACGGAGCACUUUCAAAUCAUCAAAGAUCAAGAACAUGGCAUCCCCUUUAACGAAAACACCGUCGACCCCAGAAGCCUCGUCCUUGGACUCUUCCAGCAGCUCCAUUUUCUUUCGCAUCAAUUUUCUACAAGAACACCAUGCCCCAUCAAAACUACUCAGCAACAAAUCACUUCCUUUUGAACAGCUGUGACACAUGAAAUACUUUGUGGGCUCUGUGCCAUCCACCUUCACUUUUAGUCUCUGGUAAGAAGCUUCUAACGGGUUGCGUGGAGCAAGCAACAUUUUCUGGCAGAUGUUGUUCCAGAAAACAUCAGGGCGCAAAUUUUGCACACUCUCGUAAAGAUUGUUGAUGCAACCAAUCUGUACCGGUUGUUGAAAUUGGUUCCCAAGCCGGAUGAUAGUUCCCAAUGGAAGGGUCAGGAAACUAAAGAGAACAUCAACAAAGUCUCCACUUGCUUCUGCCAUAACUACACGCUUUUGCUCAUUAUCCACCCAAUAUCUCAAAGGGAUUGUUGCUUCUUGGUUGGAAGCCAUAACUGAAACAUACAACUAAACAUUAGUAUCAAUGAAACGAGAAAAAAAAAUGCAAAUCUUAUAGUGAAAUUUCUGAUAUCUCAACUUAGUUGUUCCUGUGAUAUCUCAACCCGGUAUCCUUUCCUUAAUUCAACAAAAGAAUCACAAAUUCUUACGAAAUUCAAAAGUUGCAUUACGAUUCCAAAUAUCAAAAAACUCUAUUGAACAGUAUUGUCAGAACCAUACCAAAUUAGUCCGUUGACUUAAUCAUGAAAACCAAUCUUGCAAAGAGCUAUUCAAAGUUCAAACCAGGCAAACUAGAUAAAAUUGGCUAGAACCAGCUAGUUGGAAAAGUAUUUUUUUUAUUAAAAAAAUAAUAUUAUAAUCAAUGAUACAGUUCUAAUUCAAUAUUAUGUUGAUUGAUAUUAUAUCAAUUAUAUUUAUUUAAUUCUAACUACGGUUUUUUUGGUGUUAUUUCUAAGUGUACUUAACUGUUAAGGUGAGAGUAUUUGAUUUAGUUUCAUAUUUAAUUUUUAAUUAUGAGUUGUGAGUUAUAAAAAUGAUAACUGAACUUCCUUAUAAAAAAAUAUAAUUGAACUUUAAUUUUUAUAUGAAGUUAUCAAUAUAAUAUUUCUUUAUUUAGAAUGCCUUAAUAUAUUAUAUUAAAAUUAAAAUAAUAUUAUUUAAUUAUUAUAUAUUCAAUCACGUACAGUUGGAUUUUAUAUAUAUAAUAUAUCCAGUUGGAUUAUAUUAAACUUUUAAGUAUUGUCGUGACUGACUAAUCUAGUUUUAAAAGUUUUGAUAAUAAAUAAUGAAGGUUGAAAACAUGUACACACUACAUACAAGUAACACUUAAAGUUAGAUACAUUUAAUGCUUAAAUAUUAAAAUAUGUUUUUAUAUAUAAAAUAUACUAUUUUUAGUUUACUAUUUAAAAAUAUUUUUUUAUUUUAUUACUGAACAUUUUUAAAUUUUUUUUAAUACCGUCGUUAAUCUAAAUCUGUUAAGUUAUCAAUUAAAUAUAAAAAUAUCAUCGUAAAAUAAAAACAAAAUAUUUUUAAGUAAUAAACUUAUAUAUAUAUAUAUAUAUAUAUAUAUAUAUAUAUAUAUAUAUAUAUAUAUAUAUAUAUAUAUGUGUGUGUGUGUGUGUGUGUCUACAUUAAAUUAUGUUAUAAAUACAACUAUAGAUACAACUCGCACUUGUUAAGCACAGGGAAGUUUCUAAACUUUAUAAUACCAAUUAUAUUUAAACAUUUAUUAUAAAGCGAAUGAAAUAAAUUUUAUGUCAAUUAUAUUUCUUGUAAUAGUAUGUAUGAGAUUCAUUUAACUAAUAUUAAAAAAUAUUUAAUUUAGAUAGUAAUAUUAAAUUUUUUAUUUUUUUAAAUUACUCUUAAAACUAUUGAAAUUCAUUAUCUCACUCCUUUUCACCUAAUUAAUUAUUGUCUAGCUAGCUAUCCAUUUCAUUAAUUUAAUUAUUAUUUAUUAAUAUAAAAGUUAUAAUGUAAUUAAGGAUAUUUUAGUUAAAAAUAAUUAAUAAAAAACAAUUUAAAUUGAGUCUUAUAGAAAAGGAGAAACAAAAAUCUCAAAAGGAUUUAAGACCAAAGGCGCGCGGUAUCUUUUUCAUUUUGCGAUGAAUAACUUAUUAUUUUAAUACCAAAUCAAAUCAAUAUUUAUUUUCUCUCUAAGUAGUUAUAUCCAAUCAAAAUGAGUGUUUCAUUUUUCAUAAUUAUUUUAAUUAAUAUUUAAAUCUUUAAUCAACAAGAUGAAUACAAUAAACAAUUGCAAGUGCAACAUAUAUGUUUUAUUAUACUUCAAAAAUCCUUUUCUCUGCUGCAUCACGUAUAAUUUUUUUAACUUUCUAAUGACACAUACAAAUGUACAACAACCACAACAAUUGUUACAAAACUAGACUUCAAAUUCAACGUAUUUGGUGGUUGUUACCGGACCGUAGCGUGUGAUCAAGAGUGAGGCAAUUAAUUAAUGAAAUAGAUAAAGGCCUGUAUUUGGUAUCUUUUCAAAGCAAGUGAUGAUUAAAUCUUAUCACAGGGUUUGUUCUACAGAUUUCACUGUGCCCAUAUUGGUUUGGCUACUUCAUUUUCAGAGUGAUCUCAAUGCUUUGAAGUGAUUGGAGGAACCAUGGUUAUUAGUAUCAUAUUAAAAUAAAAAGAUUAUUGAUCUAAUGUACAACAGCGACAACAGUUAUUACAAAAGUUGAAUUGAUUAGUUUAAGUAAGGGCAACAUGUUUUAUUAUACAUCAAAAGUCCUUUUCUAUGCUGCAUCACGUAUUCACGUUUAAUUUUUUAACUUUCCAAUGGCGGAACAAGCAAAUGAACAAGUCAACAAUUAUUAAAAAAGUAGACUUCAAUUCGACGUAUUUGGUGGGUGUUACGUCUAGACCGUAGCUUGCGGAAAUGAAGAGAGGCAAUAGAUAAAUGCCUGUAUUUGGUAUAUAUUUUCAAAGCAAGUGAUGAUUUAUCACAGGGUUUGUUAUACAGUUUCACUGUGCCAAUAAUUGGUUUUCGCUACUUCAUUUUCAAAGUGAUCUCAAUGCUUUGCAGUGAUUGAAGGAGGAAGGAUCCUAUAACAUUUUUCCUUUUCACUGCUUUCGUUAAAGAUUUCUUCAGAGCUUCUGGUUGCUUUUCUUGCCUUCAUCGUGGUGAUCAGGUAAGCAGUAAUUAAUUAAAGCACUCAUGAAAACUUGAUCGAUCCUUCGUAUUUGAAGUUGAGGUUUGUCAUUUAUCACUGUGUGCUAGUCAUCUUGGUCAUAUAUAUGCUCAUCUACAGGAAACAUAUUAGACACAAAGCAUGAUUAAUUUAUCUAUAAACUGAAACUUUUGCUGCUUAGCUGAUACUAGGAUUUUCGAGUUACAAAUUUUGAAUUCAUCAAUUUUAAAAGUUAACAUAUAUAGAUAAAUUAAACGUUCAUAUAUAUAUAUAUAUAUAUCAAAUUGAUGAAUAAUGCUAAUUUUAUUACUGCGGUUAUACGAAAAUUAAGAAAAGUUUAUAUUAAGUAUCCAGUUGGUUCUUGGAGGAUCUUAAAGGGAACUAUUUCCCAGGUAAUGGCGUAAAUAUACCAUUUUGGAGGCAUCCCGUUUCUGUUCUGGUUGAAGAAAUGACGUUAUCGUAAGCUUGUAACAAUUUUAAGCAAAAGCUUUUAUUGUAAGAAAUUAUAUUAUUGUAAAAAAAAAAAAAUUGGUAAUAGAUACAUGCUUUAUGCAGGUGAAUACUAACCCAGCAUUUGCACAUGAGUAUAUAUGUUUUUAGACUUUAAUUAAAAUACACUAAUAUAAUACUACAAAUAUUUUUAUAUUAUCAUAUAAUUAUAUAUUAAUAUGUAUGAAAAGUUUAUUGAAUUCCAUAAUAUAAUUACUUUUAUAACAUAUCAACGAUCGAUAAUUUCUAAAUAAAUAUUUUAAAAUUCAACAGUAUUCAAUUACAUAUAUGAUAAUUAAUAAUUAGAUAAUAAUAAGGGUGUUUACCGUACAAUUUUAAAAGUAAUUUAAACCAAAUAUAAAUAUUAUAUGUAAUUUGAUUUGGUUUGAUAUAAAUAUAAUAUCAAAUUUCAAUCAAACCAAAUUAAUCAUUUGUGACUUACUUUGAAUAAGUUUUUAUGUUUUUUUAUAUUUGAGAAUUUAUCUUUAUAUGUUUUUUUUAAAAUAUGUUAAUUUAACUAAAAAAAAUUGACGCUACCAGUAAGUGGGUGUCUAUUAUAAAAAUUAACUAUCAGAAAAUCUAUUCUAUGGCUAUGCCAAACUCAAACGGCUAUAAUUAGUUUUAUUUAGUUUGAUAUUACAUAAAAUGUAUAAAGGAGCUAUUAUUUGGAGAAUAAUCAAUACGCCCUUGCCUUUUUACUUCAUUGACGUAAUGAUUAGGUCAAAAGGUUUUUAUUGCUUCAAAGUAUGAAAAUAUUGAUUUGAUUUAGCAUUUAGCAAUGAAACAAAUUAAUGGGUUGCAAAACUUCAAUAAUAUUAAUAUUACUUCAAUAAUAUUAAUAUUAAUAGCUAUGACUGCUAAACAAUUUAGUUUGGUUUUGCACCACCAUGGCAAACUGAAACGAAAAACAAAUUUAAUAUAUAUAUAUAUAUAUAUAUAUAUAUAUAUAUAUAUAUAUAUAGAUUUUGUUCAAUUUUUAACUUUUUAGUGAUUUUUUAUUUGUUUUGAUUUGAACAUCCUAGAUGAUAUCAUAAAAUAAAUUACAAUGUCAAAAUAUUUCAAUUAAAUUCUUUAAUAUAUGUUUAAGUUUUAUGUAUGUGUACACAUGUAUUCACAAUAUUUAUUAACUAGUUAAAAAGAAUAUAAAAUUUGAAAAAAAUAGUCAUGGACAUAAGCUGAAUUGAUUGAUUUUUCAUGAAAUUAUAAUUAUUUAAGUACUUUCACGUUCCAGAUACUUGUAUACGAACAAGUAGUAUUUUAACAUUCACUCUUGCCCCAUCUGAUAAAUAGGUGUAAAAUGUAUAUUUGAUGUCGUCUCAGUGAUGAACAAACCGGUCCCUGCCCCGGUGGCCCGUCUUAUGUUGUAAAUUUAUCUAAAGGUAAGAUUAAUUUUGUCAUUAUUAUUUUUAUUUUUAAGAAUAAGUUCCAUUCAUAUUUCUGGAGUUUGUACUUAUUACAUUCAAUUUUAUUUCAUUUUUUUUAUCAUAUACAAGACUCUCUUAUUUUUUACAUAUCAUUCAUUAUACUAUAACCUCCUAACCCACUAACAUGAUCAAAGAUAACGGGAAAAAAAGAAAGAAGUAACGAUUUAGGAGCGGCGCCAUCACGUCCUCAACCCUCGAUAAAUAUGGCAAUGUCGUACUUGAUAAAAUAGUUGUCAAGUUACAUCACAUUGUCGCAGGAGGUGAAAUAGAGGAUGUCAAGCUGGGUGACCACAUGCAAGAGUUGUAAUAGAGGUUGUUGACCUCGACAUACAUAUUUAUAUGAUAUCAUACAUGAAAAUACGGAAUUAUUAAAAUAAUUUUAUUCAACAAACAUAAAGAAACUCGCGUGGGUAAAAUGUUUAUAUUUGCGUUAAUCACCAAAUUAAAAAUUUAUCAAAUAAAAAUAUGAAAACAUCUCUGACCCAAAAAUAAAAUCAUCCAUUUUUUUUACAAAAGGAAACAAGUUAAGCAACGGAAUAACAUAAAAUAACUUGUUCAAAAUAUUAUGCACAUAAUGCAAAAAUCAAUGUCACAAUGUCUCAUCCUGUCAGAGUAUUAUGUUUCAGCAUUCUCUAACAUGAGGUUUUCCAUAGUUAUCCAUCUAAUCAUCUACUCUCAUAAACACAAAGUUCAAGAUCAUCACAAGAUCCAAACACAAAUGAUACACACACUGGAAGUGAGUUAUCACAUUCCUAAUUAAUAGAGAGAAAUAGAAAAAUAUAAACAUGAAUAUCACAUUCCACCACUUAUCGUAUAACAUCACAUCUCACACUUAUCACAUCAUUUAAGUACUCAAGAAUUAAAACACGAUAUCACUCAACCAAUCAAUAUCGAUCAAUACACAAGCGUUAUGCAACAAAUAUACUAAGACUUAAUCCUAUAUGCAAUGUAAUUUCAUGUUAGUGAAAAACCUCGUUGGAUGCCCAAGAGUACGUGACAAGACAAACCACACACUAGCAAGUCAAGUCACUCUCACUUGGUAAAAUCAUAAGAAGAUCAAUCAGGAUCACUUUGUUUUACGAGAAUGCUCCAACCAUAUGGGAUUAACAUAGACAUCAAAGAAUAUUCAAACCGAGUGUAUUUACCCCCAAGACCUACACUCCGAAGAGUCUAUCAGGUUUUUUUUCUUCUGAUUCAGGUUCAACCUAGAAAACAUUUUAGCACGCAGACUCUAUUUAUGAAUUGUAUAAAACUCAUGACUCCUCAAUUGUUCUCAAAAUAAUUUUAAUUCGUCGCCCCUCAAAGUUAUUAAACUCGUCAGGUUCCCACAAUGAAUCUCAUCACAAUAUUCGUCUCACAUUAACCCGUCACCCUUAAAGGGUAUUACAGUCGUGUGAUUGUAUGGUUCAUAGUUCACAACUCAAUACACACAACAUCUCAAUAUACAUGUGUGAUCUAACAAUUUAACACAUACUUAACUUGUCACUUACACAUAGUUUCUCACACUUCCAUAAUUCCAAAACAACAUGUUAUCAUGCCUCAUGCAUUAUAUACGUGUCACACAAUAACAAUAUUAAUAUGUUAUGUUCAUAUGAUUAAACCCCUAAAAUAAUUUCACAUAAUCAUAUCAAAAUCAAAGGAAUCAAAAUCAUAGGUGAAAAACAUGAAAACACCAAGAGUACUCAAUUUUAUCAACUAAUUCACAUUAGGGCAUCAAUUGACCCAUCAAACACAAUAAUCUUGUAAUUAUAAUCAUAAAGGAAGAAUCACAAUACAGUAAAUAUCUCAAAAUAAAUCUCAAUUUAAUCCUCUAAGGAUCCUUAUACAUGUUUAUUCUAACCCCAAUUAUGAUAAACACAUCUCUUACCUCUAAGCGGGCACACAUAUGUAAUUUGAUAGUGAUAACGACAUUUCUAAUUGUUCUGCUAAGGUUUUCCGUACCUGGGAUACUUUUCUCACCCCAGACAUUAUUUUGCAAGUCCAAACAAUGUAGAUGAACGAAAAUGAGUUCCAAACCUAGUGUUUAAAUUUCAUGAUGAUCUAGCAGUUAACGAGUUCGAGAUAAUAAUUUUAAUGAGAUAGAUUAUGGUGUAUGGGGAAAAAGCUACUUGUGAGGGACAUUUCUUUCACCAGAGACAUUAUUUCUCAAAUUCCAAUGGUUGGAAUGAGCAAAAAUGAGUUUUGAACUAGUUGUUCAAACUUUAAGAUGAUUCAACAGUCUAGGAUCAUAGUUUUACUGACAGGUUUGAGUGUAUGCAAGAAAAAGAGAAGAUUUAGGGAGAUGAGGAAGGGAAAAAAAAUUGAGAGAAAGAGAGAGCGUAGAGACGUAUUGUAAAUGUAAAACUGAUCUAAUAUGUCUCUGUUUAUAGUUAGAGUACUCUUAGCCUAUUAUUUAUUAUAUUUUUUAUUUUAUAAAAAAGCUUUAUUUUACUUCCUAUCAAACGAAUAAAUAAAAUCUCAUUUUUAUUUUCUAAGAAUAUAUAUUUAUUUUAUUUACCUUAAAAUAAUUAUUUUAAUUAAUAAAAAUAUUUCUUCAUAUCUAUUUAAUUACAAAAAUCUCAUUAUUUUCUUAAAAUUCUUUUUAUUUUUAAAUAAAAUUAUUUUUAAUUUAUUUUAUGAAAAAAAUAAAAUGUUAAAAGAGCACUAGUCGUUGAUGAGGUUGCCGCGAUAUUGGAAGAGAUGACAUCGGAGGAGGCGAUAAUAGUCAAGUUGUUGUGAUUGGUGAAAGCGACAGAGUUGACAAGGAAGGUGAGGAGUGAGUUGAUGAUAUUUUCGUAAGUAAACCCGACGUGAACUUGGGCUGAGAGGAGUCCUGCACACGAGUGAUAGGAGAUCUUAGGACAUUUCAUAAAAAAAAAUAAAAAUAACAGGGUUAGUAACGAUGAUUAAAAAUAACAGGGUUAGUAACGAUGAUUAUUUAAGGAGAGACAAAAGAUAUAUAAUUUUAGGAAGGGGUGUAAGUGCAAUUAACGCAAACCUAACUUUAGGGAGAGAGUGUAAUUUGCUUUAUUUUUAAUUAUGAAAACAUGUUAUGCCGAACUAUGCCAACGAAAAGCUGAGCAAAAAUUAAACAUUUUUAUUGCAUAUUUUUAGUGAAAUUUUUUAAGUCGAGACUUAAUUUCAAAUAACGUGAAAUUUUUUAUUUUUGUAUAAAUAUAAUGCUUUAACCAUUUUCUUUUAAUUAUGAUUGUAGGUUUUUUAAUACAAACUACACGUGUACCCCGUGUGACUCACGGGGAUAAAUGUUUCUUAUUUUUGUAAUAUUUAUUAAGUUUUUAGUUUAUCAUUAUGUGUAACUUUUUUUGUAUUUAUUUUUUUCAAAUAUUAUUAUUCUACAAUUUAAGAUUUUAAAUUAUUAUUAUAUGUUACAAAAGUAAUAUUUUUCAUUCUUAAAAUUAUAGUAUUAAUUGACUACUAUUUUAUAUUUUUUGUUUUAGUGUUUUUUAAAUAUAUCUAUAUUUAUUUAAAAAUUAGCAUAUUAAUAUAUAUAUAUAUAUAUAUAUAUAUAUAUAUAUAUAUAUAUAUAUAUACACACACACAUAUAUUUAUAUUAUAAAUAUCAAACAAAUUUUUAUAUUAUUAUAGCAUUUUUUUAUGAUGAAAAGGACUGUGCACGUGUAAAAUAAUUUUAAAUAUCCAGGAAUGCUUUGCUGCCAUCUUGCCUAUGAGAUAAUUAAUUAGUGAUUUGAUUUCAAUCUUACUACCAUCAUUUCUCCUGUGUCCUUUAUCCAUUAUUUCAAAUGUCUUGAUAUAUAUUGAACACAAGGCAUAAGAUGUCUUUCUUGUUAAGUAUAAUCAUUUAUUUUUCUAUACCCAUGUAGACAUCUAAAUAUAAAUGAUCGAGUUCAAUAUCUCAUAUUACUCUAUAUGUGUGGUCAUACAUAUUACACAUCUCUCCUUCGCUUUGUCUCUUUGUAAUUAUCACUGUCAUAAUUAAUAUUGUGACUCUCCUUAGUUGUAGGAUUGACAUUUUAAAUCACAAUUAAUUGAUAGAAUUCUACAUUAAUUUGAACUAUCUCCUUUAUGAUUCCCUUUCGAAAUAUUUCUCCACAUAACUCUUACCAUGAUAUUGGCAUUGACCAUUAAUGGUAAUUGGUAACUUUAGUUUUCCCACUAUUAGCAUUGCUUUUGUUACUCGACAUUCCAUCGUCCCCUUAAGCCGCACUUCCACUUUCCACACUUGAUAUGUUGUUCCAUAGCCACCAGCCACCAUCGAUUCCCUCUUUCCUCCUUUGCUUCACCCACAAUUAAGCAUAUUAUUCCACUACUUACCUUUUUUUUCAACAAUGUCUCACAGGAUUUAUCAUUGUGACCAAGAAUGCCACAAACGAAAGAAAAUGUACCUAAACGCUCAUACUUGAAAGUCACCAUUCGCCACUUCCUUCCUGACUUAUGUAACUUGAUCUCUUUUUUCAAAGAUUUAAGGACAUCAAUAUUCACUCGGAUUCUCAUGUAUGUUCUCCACCCUCUUGAAUUAUUACUAGCAUCAUACUCCAUGAAUUCUCCAAUAUAACUCCCUAGGUACUAACCUAAAAUCGGAGUUAUAAACCCAGCUAGAAUGUGGUGGGCUUGAAGCCCAAAAGGAAUAUGAUAUAACUGUAUCUGACUAGGGACAUCUUCAAGUUGAAUUCUUCCCAUAAAUUCAAUGUCCCCUUGACAAAACUCUCUCCAUAUCCAAUUAAUUGUGAUAAAAUUGGAACAUAAAGGUUCUUUGAAUCACUUCCUUGAUUGAGACUCCUUACACAUCCCCCAUUCUAUCCUUCAUUCUAUGGCCGCAAAUUGACUUCUAUGUAAGAAAACGACCAACGAUACAUAGGAAUACAUCAUUGCUUAUUGGUUGUUUCCUUAUCUUCAUCAACAUGUAAAUUCUUGAAGAGGGAUGAGGAACCUUUAAAUGUGACUAAGUCCACACUAGUUGAUAAAAAAAGAAACUAAGCCUUCAUUGUCAUCCUGCAACGAAGAUAGACGCCCCACAUCCCUUAUCUCCCUACCACUCAAUUUUCGAAAGGCUCGUCUCAUUAGAAAAGAUACUCUUUUUUUUUUGUGAUACUAAUUUCCCAAGGACUAGAAAAAGGUCAAAAACUAGGUCAUCUCUCAGAGGAGAGAAAUAAUUAUGUAUAGUAAAAGUUAUAAUAUCAACUAUUUAUUCUAUAAUUAAUAAUUAUUAUCAAACUAUUUUAUGCUAUAAAGUGCACUCUCAAAUUUUAAAAGAGUCAAAUCUUAAAUCUUAUACUUAUAUGGGCAAGAUUGGGUAAAUCAAGACAACCAAUGGUGGCUGUCCUUUGUUUGUUUUCUUCUGAGUUUAUACUCUUCUUAAAAUUAGGAGUAUUAAAAGUUUUAAAUGCGUGUUUUUAAUCCUUUAUGAAUUUUAAUUAUCUUUAAAAUGUUUUUUAAUUAAAUUAAUUUUAAAUCAAUUUUUUAUUUUUAUAUAUACAUCUAAUGAAACAAUUAAUUUUAUCUUUUAGAUUUAUCUACCAAAAAAAUUAGUUUAAAAAGAGCUCUAAAACUAAGAAAUGAAAAAUAGCAAAUAUCUUUUAAUUCCUUUAUUUUUAGGACAGUUAUUUUGAACUGUCUUUUUUAAUUAUAGAGUACUUGCAAUGAUACUUGUGAUAUUUAUUGAUAAUAUCAUCAUUUUCUUAAGUAGUUGUUGACUGAUCUGUUUCUACCUUGGUUUUCUUGGGAGACAGAUCUAGUCGUACUUAGUAAAAGAUAAUCAAGCACAAAGUAUGAAUUAUUUGAACAAAGUAGGGGAAAAAGCAUUUGGUUGCGUGUUGGACCUGGGUAUUCGGCAUGUGGCUUACAUCUUCAGUUACGGGAAGAAAGUUGAUGAACUAAACAAUAGUAUUAAGGAUCUUGGGCAUGCAAAAGAGAGGGUAGAUCAUCUACGUGAUGAAGCUAAGAAGAAUCUACACAACAUUGAAGGUCAGGUUACAGAAUGGUUUCGGAAAGUAGAAGAAUGUAAGACUGAAGUGGAGGAGUUUGGGAACGAUGAAGGCCACAGAAAGACACGGUUGCUCCAUGAUUUAUUUCCUUACUUGUGGAAUAGAUACAGGCUAGGCAAACAAGCAGUGGAGAUGACAGAGGAUGUCAAGAACUUAAUAGAUGAGUGCUCCAAGUUUAAAGAAGUUGCCUACAGGGAGAACAUAACAUCUAAUGAUGUCACUUUGUCUAAUGCUGGCUAUGUAGAAUUUGGUUCUAGAAAAUCUAUAUUGGAAGGCGUAAUGGCGCAACUUGAAGAUUCCACUGUCAGAAUGAUUGGACUGCAUGGGCCUGGUGGUGUGGGUAAGAGCACUUUAAUCAAAGACAUUGCGAAGAAAUCUCUAGACAAGAAGCUGUUUGAUGUGGUAGUUAAACUAGAAAUAACAGCCAAUCCCAAUCUACAAAAAAUCCAGGAAGAAAUUGCUUACGUGUUAGGAUUGAGAUUGGAAGGGGAAGGUGAGAAUGUGAGAGCUGAUUGUCUACGAAGGAGGUUAAAGCAAGAGAAGGAGAGCAUCCUUGUAAUCUUGGAUGACCUUUGGGACAGAUUAGACUUGAAUAAGUUGGGGGUUCCACUUGAUGGUGAUGUUGAUCAUAAUGAUUUAAGCAAGAAGACACUUGAUGGUGAUGUUGAUCAUAAUGAUUUAAGCAAGAAGACAAGCAAGGCUAAAAUGGGUCCCAAAGAGGCGAAUAAAGAAAAAUCUCUUGGUGAUUGUAAGGGCUGCAAAAUUUUGCUAACUUCAAGGGAUAAAAACGUAUUAACCGAUAAAAUGGAAGUUAAGUCAACUUUCUGUGUAGAGGAAUUAGAUGACGAUGAUGCUCUGAGAUUGUUUCAGAAGGAGGCUAGAAUACAGGGUGAAAUGUCCAAGUGGAAACAAGAAAUUGUUAAGAAGUACUGUGCAGGGUUACCUAUGGCAAUAGUUACAGUUGGAAGGGCAUUAAGAGACAAGAGCGACUCAGAGUGGGAAAAACUUAAAAAUCAAGACCUGGUGGGAGUUCAGAAUUCUAUGGAGAUUUCUGUAAAAAUGAGUUAUGACCGUCUAGAAAAUGAGGAGCUCAAGUCCAUUUUCUUUCUUUGUGCUCAAAUGGGUCAUCAACCCCUAAUUAUGGACUUGGUGAAGUAUUGCUUUGGUUUGGGAAUACUUGAGGGGGUCUACUCACUUGGGGAAGCUCGGAGCAGAAUAUCUACAUUAAUCCAAAAGCUGAAAAACUCAGGUUUGGUGUUGGAUGGAAGUUCUAGUAUUCAUUUCAAUAUGCAUGAUCUGGUUCGAGAUGCUGCUUUAUCUAUAGCACAGAAGGAGCAAAAUGUAUUUACUUUGAGAAAUGCCAAACUUGAUGAUUGGCCUCAACUCGAGAGGUGCACUUCUAUUUCUAUAUGCAACAGUGAUAUCAUUGAUGAGCUUCCAGAAGAAAUAAAUUGUCCUCAACUUAAAUUUUUCCAAAUUGACAGCGAUGAUCCAUCCUUAAAAAUACCUGACAGUUUUUUUAAAGGAAUGAAAAAGCUCAAAGUAUUAAUGUUGACUGGUAUUCAACUAUCAAGAUUACCAUCUUCAAUUGAAAGCCUAUCAGACCUCAGAUUGCUUUGUUUGGAGCGAUGCACUUUAGAUCACAACUUAUCCAUCAUAGGGAAGCUGAAAAAAUUAAGAAUUCUCAGUUUUUCUGGAUCUCGAAUUGAAAAUUUGCCAGCUAAGUUAAAGGACUUGGAUAAACUACAAUUACUAGACAUCAGCAAUUGUUCAAUGGUCAAGAUGAUUCCGCCUAAUCUUAUAUCAAAAUUGACUUUGUUGGAAGAGCUGUAUGUUAGAAAGAGCUUCAUCGAAGUGUUGGAGGAAGGAGAAAGAAACCAUAGUCAAAUUUCAUUUCUUUCUGAACUAAAGCAUUUGCAUCAAUUGCAAGUGGUGGAUUUAAGCAUUCCAUGUGCUGAAGCUUUUCCCGAUGAAUUGUUCUUUGACAACUUAACUGAUUACAAGAUUGAGAUUGGGAACUUCAAAACACUUUCAGUUGGAGAUUUCAGGAUGCCUAAUAAGUAUGAAAAGUUCAAAUCUUUGGCAUUGAAGCUGAAGGAUGACACUGACAAUAUUCACUCUCAGAAAGGAAUAAAGUUGUUGUUUAAAAGAGUUGAAAAUUUGUUGUUGGGAGAGCUGAAUGGUGUUCAAGAUGUUAUUAAUGAGUUGAAUUUGGAUGGAUUUCCAUAUCUGAAACACUUAUCCAUCGUAAACAACCCUAGCAUCAAAUGCAUCAUCAACUCAAAGGAUUUGUUUUAUCCCCAGGAUGUUUUUCCCAAGUUGGAAUCUCUAUGCCUCCACAAACUAAGAAAGAUAGAGAUGAUAUACUUUAGUUCAGGUACAAAGAUGAUAUUUACAGAUUGCUCAUUCACCAACUUGAAAACCAUCAAGGUCGAGAUGUGUGACCAAUUGAAGAAUCUUUUCUCCUCUUGCAUGGUUAAAUUGCUUGUGAGUCUUGAAACAAUUGGUGUUUCCCAUUGUUUUUCUUUAGAAGAGAUGGUUAAAAUACCUGACAAUUCUGAUAAGAUUGAGUUUCUUAAGUUGAAGUCUUUGUCACUUCAAUCAUUAUCAUCAUUCACUAGUUUUUAUACCACAGUAGAGGGGUCUUCCACAAACAGGAAUCACAUACAAAUUACUGUUAUAGAGACGGAGCAUAGUGAGAUGGCUCCUCCUCUUUUUGGUGAACUGGUAUGAUAGUGCAUAUUUUUCCUUUAAAUUUUUUAAUUAGUUUGUGACUAAUUAUUUUUUAGUUGUAAAUAUGUUAAUUGUGUAUGUGCUUGCAGGUUGAAAUACCAAACUUAGAGAACUUGAAUUUAAUCUCAAUGAACAAGAUCCAGAAGAUAUGGAGUGACCAGCCCCCGUCAAAUUUCUGCUUUCAAGACUUAAUAAAAUUAGUUGUGAAAGAUUGUCAUAAUUUGAGAUAUUUGUGUUCAUUGUCCGUUGCUAGCAGUUUGAGGAAACUGAAAGGCCUCUUUGUAAGCAACUGUAAAAUGAUGGAAAAGAUUUUUAGCACAGAAGGAAAUAGUGCAGACAAGGUGUGUAUAGGUGUAAAUAAGUAAAUUUUUAUAGUUGACUGAAUGUUAUGCAUUUCUAUUUAGUUUCGUUACCAAAUAAUGGCUUGUUGUCAUCAAAGUGCAGGUUUGCAUCUUUCCUAAGUUGGAGGAAAUCCACCUCGACCAAAUGAUUGAGUUAACAGACAUAUGGCAAGCUGAAGUGAGUGUUGAUUCCUUUUCUAGUCUCACUUCUGUGUACAUUUUUCGUUGCGAUAAACUAAACAAAAUUUUUCCAAGUCACAUGGAAGGAUGGUUUGCGAGUUUGAACAGCUUGAAGGUUCAUUAUUGUGAGUCAGUGGAAGUGAUUUUUGAAAUCAAAGAUUCUCUGCAAGUAGAUGCAUCUGGUGGGAUAGACACAAAUUUGCAGGUUGUUGAUGUAUGCAAUCUCCCAAAGUUGGAGCAUGUGUGGAGCAGGGAUCCAGGAGGAAUUCUUAACUUCAAAAAUCUGCAGAGUAUAGAAGUGUCUGGUUGUAAUAGACUGAGGAAUGUAUUUCUAGCUUCUGUGGCCAAAGAUGUUCCAAAGCUUGAAUACAUGUCGGUACAAAGUUAUGGAAUUGUGGAAAUUGUUGCCUGUGAAGAUGGAUCCGAAAAAAACACUGAACAAUUAGUGUUUCCUGAACUAACCUACAUGACCUUAUAUAACCUAUCAAGCAUCCAACAUUUCUACAGGGGGAGACAUCCUAUAGAGUGUCCAAAAUUGAAGAAGUUGGAAGUAAACAAAUGCAACAAGGAGCUAAAAACAUUCCAAACAAGAGAAUGCAGCAAUGAAGAAGAUGAAGUAGUUUUGUCAGCUGAAAAUGUAAGUCAUAUUGUGAGACAUAAAGGAAAAACAAAAUGCAGAGUGAUAUUGUAAGAAGUGUGGCAUACUUAAAAAAGAUAUAACCCUGCUAAAUAUAAUAUGGAUAGAACUUUUAGAAUUGAUUAUUAAUAGUUUAACGUCUGUGAUCCCCCAAUCCCUCUUUGUUUAAAUCAUCUAAUCCAAAUUCCUCAUUGUGGCUUACAAAUUUUUUAGAAUUUAGAAUUCAAGGGAAUUUUUGAUUAAUUAUUAUAAUUUAAUUUACCGUGGUACUAUAAAGUACUGUUAAGAGCAUUUUUUAGUCUUGAUGGGACCCGAGAGUAACCAAUAUGCAGGCAAGGAGUAAAAUAAGUGAAGAGAGAGAAAUGCAAUAUAUUUUGCUAUGUAAGUGUAUGUAAAUGCUCUUACAAUAAAGUAGCUUCCUUCUUCAUAGUGUACUAUUUACUUUUGUUUUAUUUUUCUGUAGAUAUUCCCCAACUUGGAGUAUUUGGAUAUUGACUUUGACGAAGCACAGGAGUGGUUAUUGAGCAACACUGUGAAGCAUCGAAUGCACAAUUUAAAAGAGCUUAGGUUGUGCUAUGUUAAUGAUGGUGAACGUCUCUGUCAGAUUCUGUACAGAAUGCCAAAUCUAGAAAAGUUAUAUUUGUUUAACUCUGAACAUUUGCUUAAAGAGUCAUCGGAGUCACGUUUGGGAACCGUAAUACAGCUGAAAGAAUUGGUUUUGUGGUCUUCGAAGAUAAAGGAUAUAGGAUUUGAACGAGAACCAGUUCUACAGAGACUAGAGCUUUUGAGCUUACAUUGGUGCCACAAAUUGAGGAAUUUGGCUCCUCCCUCGGUAUCAUUGGCUUACUUGACAAAUUUGGAAGUAAGGAAUUGUGGUAGAUUAAGGAAUUUAAUGGCAUCCUCAACGGCAAAAAGCUUGGUUCAACUUAAGUCCAUGAAGAUAAGCGAAUGCGAUGAAUUAGAGGAAAUAGUAAGCAAUGAGGGAAAUGAAGAAGAAGAGCAAAUAGUGUUUGGCAAAUUGAUUACUAUAGAACUUGAGUACCUACUGAAUCUGAAAAGUUUUUGCAGUUACAAUAACUGUGAAUUCAAAUUCCCGUCAUUGGAAAUAUUGAUUGUGAGAGAAUGCCGAAUGAUGCAAACAUUCACGGAGGGUGGUGCAAGAGCACCAAAGUUACAAAAUAUAGGUGGUGGUGUUGAAAAAGGUAAAGAGGAAGCCAUGUGGCAGUGGGAAGGAGACUUGAAUGCCACCAUACAAAAAGGUUUCUACCAGGAGGUACUUACAUUUAUUUUAUCAGUUCAAGUUUGUUAAAUUUCUUUAAGAUAUAAAUAUGUUAGCUUAAAAAAAUCAGCAUUUAUAUAAAUUUAUUAAUCAUUUUUGUUUGAAAAACUUCAUUCAUGAAAUUUAAAAUGAUACGAAUUUGACUGCUUCAUGUACCCAGCGUAGUCAUAAAGAAAACCUUCCCUCAUCUUACAACUUUUCUUUUUAAUCCAAAUAAAUAAACUUCAAUUCAUAUUGAUUGUGAUCCAUGAAUUUUUUGUUAACACUUUUAGUCUUUCUAGACAUUUUUGCUCAUUAUUAAUCCUUUGUUUAUGUUAUAUUUAAGAUUAAUUUUGAGCAACAAAAUAAAUGACUAAAAAUGGACAAACACAUUUAGAGGGAAACUUUAAUGAAUGCUUGAAAAUUGUCAAAAAAAAUUGAGGAAACAAAAAUUAUAAUAUAAAAAAGAUGAAAAGUUAAAAACUUAAUUAAAAACACUAACAUGUUGAUUUGUGAUAACAAGUUAACAAAUUUAUCCAUAUAAUUUGCGGUCAUCUAUAUAUUUAUAAAAUAAAAGUCUCAUAAGAGGUUAUUAUAACUUAUAAUAAGGUUAAUUUUGUAGUUAGGAAGAAGGAUUUCAAGGAAAAAGGAUGAAAGAGGUUUUGAGUUAGAAUACUAUCACUAAUAUUCUAAUAAAAAAACUACCCGCUAAUAUUAAUUGAUAAAAAAAAUCUCAUGAAAAUAAUGUCUUAUAUAUUGAUGAAUAAGGAUAAAAUGUAUUUUUUUUGUUAAAAUAUGAAAUCACGUGAAAAUAAAAUGACAUUUUUACACCUAAGAGUAAAUAAUAAAAUAUUUCUUAAACUAAAUCAUCCAUAAUUUCAUCAUUGAUAAAAAAAAAUUAUGUUAUUUACUUAUAUUUUUUUUGUUUAACCUUUUGUGCAGCUAUCCAUAAUUAGUAUUUUAGCACAUGGCAGAAAAUAAAUAUUUAUUUAUACAACAAGAAUUUUUAAUUUAUAAUAAAUAAAUAUUUUAUGUAUAUAAAUUAUAUUAUAAUUAAAUUUGCUAAUAUAUUAUUUUUAACAUAUAAAUUACAUUUUAAAUUUAUGUUAGGAUGUAUUAUUAUUUUAAAUAAUUGAUGUUUUCUUUGAAAAAUAUUUAAAUUAAAGUUAGAAACAAGGAUGCCGUCAAGUUUUCUUAAGCCAAUUAUCUUAGUUUUGUUUCUCUCUAAUGGAAGGAAGGUGUUUUAAUGGUCCCCUUGAUGAUGAAACUUGGAAUGUAAUUUUAUAAUAAACAACGGACAUAAUUGCUCCCUCCAUAUUAAUAUCUGUUUGCCACACAACUCAGUCUCAUCAUUCUUUGGCGUUGGCUUCUUCAUCUUAUACUAAGAUAGCAAGAGUUGAUGGAUUCAUUUUUUAUUAUUAAUUAUUAAUUAUAUAAAAAUUUAUUUAUAUUUAUUAUCCAUUUGACUAGUGAGUUUUAAGAUAUUAGGUGUUUUUCAUUAAAAUAUAAUAAAUAUAUUUUUAAUUAAUAUGAUAAUCUUAAACUAAAAAAAAUAUUAUAUUUAUUAUUAAGAAUUUUUCAUUGAAAGUUUAAAAUAAUGUUAACAACUAAGAAUUCUCACUUGAAUUAAUUUAAUGAUAUCAUUCACACGUGAAUUAUAUAUAUAUAUAUAUAUAUAUAUAUAUAUAUAUAUAUAUAUAUAUAUAUAAUUUAAUAAAUAAGAUUAAUUAUUUUUCUUCAAUAAAGAUGAUUAUGUAUACAUUAAUAUAUCCUGAUUAUUAUUAUCCUAUUUUAUAAUAAUCUUAUGAUAAAAAAAUAAAUUAGACUAAAAUUAUAAAAAAAAAUUGAUUAUUAUUAUUAUUUCUAUCAUAUAACAUGUGUUUAAUUUUAAUCCAGACCUAUCAAGUUAACAAUUUAAUAAAAAAUAAAUAAUAAUAUUUUUUACCAAAAUUGAUAAUAUGAUAUAUAUAUAUAUAUAUAUAUAUAUAUAAUUCUACAUUUUUACUUAUGGUUUAUCUAAAAAUAAUAAAAUAAAUAUAUGAUCUUAUAGUUUAUAUUGUAAAUAGAUUUCUUUAUUAAUUAAUAAUAUUUUUUAUAAUAUAGAGCUGUUUCUUUUCAUUUGUUAAACCCAUGUUUGUUUGAAUUUUUAUUCAGAAUUGUUAUAAUUUUGAGAGAGAAAAAUAUGAUUAUUUUCUUUAAGUUCAUUAAAAAAUCCAUAGAUUUUUUUCCCUGUAUCCUCACACAAAUAUUUUGUAUAUAAAAAAAAACAAACUAAAUGUUUCAGGUUCAUUUUUUUCACACAAAAAAAUGGAAAUGAAAUUUUUAAUUUUUCAGACAAAAGUAAAAAAAAAAUUAUACUAUAUAAAAAAUAUUUUGGUUCCUCCAAUAUUUUUUUUUCUCAAAGUUCCGCCACUGAUUUCAUGCGUCUCUAUGUCUAAUAUCAAGUUCCUCUCUUUUUCUUUGUCUUUUUAUUAACUAAAUUCAGUAUUAAUACAGUAACUGAUUUAUGACUAAUCUAUCUAUUUGUUAUGAUGUAAUCGCCAGCUAUGAAACUGACAUAUUAGCCUUUUGUAUGCAAUAUCCUAUUUUGCAUGCACAGCUUUUGGACUCUACACGUGCUUCUAAAAGUCUCAGAGUCAGCCCACGACUACAAGAGAUAUGGCUUGACUCACGGCGGAUCCCAAAGUCGUGCUUCAGUAAGUUGAAGUAUUUGACUGUGGACGGAUGCCAACUUUUAACAGAUGUUGUCAUACCCUUCUCUUUACUUCCUUUCUUAACUAAUUUGGAACAAUUACAUGUCCGAAAGUGUGGUUCUGUGAAAAGCAUAUUUGACGUGAAAACAGCUAUGGGAUUGGGAGCAGCAGCCUUCCCUAGACCUCUCCCUUUUUCCCUCAAGAAAUUGACUUUAGAGAGGCUGCCAAAACUGGAGAAUAUCUGGAAUGAAGAUCCUCAUGGAAUUCUAAGCGUGCAACAUCUACAACUUGUUAUUGUUGAGAAAUGUAAAUGCCUUACAAGUGUGUUUCCGGCAUCAGUAGCCAAAGAUCUUGAAAAACUAGUUGUCAAAGACUGUGAGGGAUUGAUGGAAAUUGUUGCAGAGGAUAAUGCAGAUCCAAGAGGAGCAAAUCUAGACCUUAUGUUCCCGUGUCCCUGUGUGAGGUCAUUGAAACUACAAGGUUUGCCCAAGUUCAAGUAUUUUUACUACGGCUCACUGCAGUGUGACAUGUUCCAGACACCUACCGAGGAUGGAAAGGUACUAUUGUCUUACUACUUUGUCCUUACCGCAGAAUCUGAUGCCUGCUUAUUAUAUAUAAUUGCACUACUUUUAUAAGAAUUGAAUUAUCACCAUUAGUUUCUAUACUUCAUUUUUAUUGUUCAACAUGAGUGAUAUGAACAUGCUCUUAAAAUUAAAAUGUGAAAAUUUCACGUAUAUUGCUAUAUAUAUGCCGUGUUCUAUCUUCUAUGCCUAUUAACUCCCAUUUUUCAUGUUUUACAUAAAUAAGUAAAAGAAUACACUUAAGGGUACAUGUUACAUUCAUGAUACAACAAUGACAUUUUAGGUUAUUAAUACACACGAUUACAUAGAAUCUUACACACGCUAUUUUACUUUAUCAAAUAUUAUGUAUGGAUACGAUGGUUCUCAAAUCGUUAUAAACAAUCUCCCUACCAUCUAAAGGAUCGAAUUUUUCAUCAUUUUCUUCUCCGUUGGAACAACUACAACCUCCCUAAAGGUCUCCUUUAUCACUUUUUCCAUCUAAAACUUUAAACUACAAAUAAAUAAAUUUGUUUAGGCUCAUACCGCAUCAAAAUCCCUUUAUUAAUAACUAGCCUGGUUCAUCUCUUUUUCCUUUUUGGUUUAGUGAACUUUUUUUCUUCUUUGCAUUGACUUGUUUGAACCUAUUUUAUUGUAAUAGUUAAUUUGUAACUAAUUAUCGGAUAUCUUUUAUCAUGAAAUUAGAGUUCGUUUUUCAUUGUAAAUAAAAGAGCUGGAUCUAUAACUGCCCUAACCUUCUUUUGCUUGGUUAUCGGUUUCUCUUGGUAGCUUACAUCCAACUUGCAAUGCCUGUCACUGGGUGAAAAAGGACUGGAGAUGAUCAAGCGUGGAGAAUUUCAGAGAAACUUCUUGCACAAGCUACAAGUUCUUACUGUGGGCUUUCAUAUAGGGUCCGAUGAAUUUCCAUAUGAAAUUCUACAACUGGCGCCCAAUAUAGAGAAGCUUGUGGUGUGUGAUGGUUCCUUCAAGGAGAUUUUCUGCUUUGAUAGUCUUAAUGUGGAUGAGGCUGGACUCCUAUUACAGCUCAAAGUCUUAUGCUUGGACUCCCUUCCAGAGCUUGUUUCCAUUGGGUUAGAGAACUCUUGGAUUCAGCCCUUACUGGGAAAUCUAGAAACCUUGGAAGUAAUAGGUUGUUCUAGUCUAAAAGACUUGGUACCAUCUACAGUGUCUUUCUCCAAUCUGACAUAUUUGCAAGUAGAAAGAUGCAACAACCUGCGUCAUUUGUUCGCAUCCUCAACAGCAAGAAGUUUGGGUCAACUCAAAAGAAUGGAGAUAAAAAGGUGUGAUUCAAUUGAAGAGAUAGUCUCUAAGGAGGGGGAUGAAUCACAUGAGAAUGAAAUAAUAUUUCCGCAACUCAAUUGUUUGAAACUUGAAGAAUUACGAAAGCUGAGAAGCUUCUAUAAAGGAAGUUUAUUAAGUUUCCCAUCAUUGGAGGAAUUGUCAGUAAUGGAGUGCGCGUGGAUGGAAACAUUAUGUCCUGGUACCCUAAAAGCAGACAAGUUGGUUCAACUUCAACUUGACAGGUACUUAUAUGAACGUGAGGAGUCAUCAGAUGCUAUCAAAUUGGAAAAUGACCUGAACUCUACCAUGCGGGAGGCAUUUAGGGAAAAGGUAUGUUUUCAAUUAUUUUGAUUAAAUAUGAUUGAUAUUGGUGUAUGUUGUUCUUAUAAUGCAAAAUAUACACCGUUAGGUUAAUUAGAUUCAUCCUCAAAAUAACUUUGGCCUCAUCCAAUAAUUUAUCUUUGGAUUCUCAGCGUCGUCCAAUUUUUCGGAAAACCAAAAAACUCACAGAAACAACAUUUAUGUGCCAAUCUAAUUUGGCUCAUAUUAAUUUUUUACGUUAAACUCAUAAUAAUUUAAUCUAUUUUCUAUGUACUUUAUCAAUGCUACUUAACUUAUAUAUAUUAAUAAUACUGAUAUAAAAUGAAUCCGAACUCUUUCAAGCCACUGCAGAAAUGAUUUGAAAAUUAUUUAAUUUUUAUUUUAUUAGUAAACCAUUUAAUUUUAUUUACAUUAAUCCUAUUGAAUAAAAGAAACUAUCAAUCUUUUAUAAUCCACUCUUAUAUAUACAUUCAAAAUAUUUAUCUUUUAGCAAUUUUAACUAUAUAAAAAAAUUAUCUUCUAGGAUUAAGAUACUAAUUAUAUUUAAAAUCUAGAUUAGGGUAGUUAAAAUGUUAGCUGUCCUUUUUUUUAAUUUUCUUUAACUUUUUGUUAUUUCUUCAUUUAUAUAUUAAAAUAGAUUAAAUAGAUAUUAAAAAAAAUUAGAGUGACUUGAAGAAGUUUAGAUUCAUUAUUAUUAUUAUUAUUAAUUACUAGUACAAAUAAAAGUUAAGUAGUAUAAGUAAGGUAUGUAAAAAAUAAAUAAUUAAAAUAUUAAUGAGUUUAGCUUACUAAAAAAGUAAGAGAUUCUUUUUUGAGCAUAAGGUAAGAGAUUAAUAUAAGUCAAAUAAUCUUAUUUAUCAACUUAAUUGUAUGAUGUGACUGCAAGAUCAAUCUAAUGGUAUAUAUUGUGUUGGAGAGAAAAAUAUGUUGGAGAGCAUCUUAAUCCUAUGUUUUGACUGAGAUUAAAUAUAUUGUAUUUGUUAGUAAUUAUUGUAUAUAUGAAUUUUUUAUAAGGAAGAGUCAUUGAAUUUGUGUAUUUUUCUUAUAAAUAACUCCCUGAGAGACCAAUAAAUAUGUUAAAUUGUUUUUUAAUUUUUCUAAAUAAGGUAAAAAAAAAAAUACUCCACUAUCUAGCUUUAGUCAUGCGUAUGUUUUGUCGAAUGAUUAAUUUUGAAUUUUGAAAAAUAAUCUACUCUCUUUCUGAUAUAAAUAUCUAGAAACUUUUUUAUAAGGACAACAAAGGCAUAUAAAAAAUAUUUUGAAAAAUACUUUCAUUGUGUGUAUUUCAUGAUAAAUUUAAAAAGAAUGUACUAGAAUCAACUAGUUGAAAACUGUUAUGUCAGACACAUUGAUCCAGAAAACAACAAACACUUCUUGAAUUUUAUAAUAAUUAUAACAUUAAUCAUUACAUCGAUAACUUAAAUAAUUUUACAUUAACUAUUCUUAUUUAUUAUUAUUAUUAUAACAGACAAGCCUUUUAAAAAAAUAAUAACAAUAUACAAGAUUGGUUUUAUUUUAUACUAUGCUCUUUUUAUAUAAUGGUUUUAUACAAGAUUGUCAAAGUAACUCGCUUCCAGAUUUCACCAAGCAAUGGGUGGAUGGAAGAAUAAAGAUGUGGCAACAACCCAUCAAAUAUUUAAAAUGUAAUAUAAAUAAAACACGAAAUCAAAUAAUUAAUAAUUUACUAUAUUCUCCAUAUCAGUUGAAAUCAAACAUCAAGAUUGAUCUCUCUCCAAGUACUAACAUUAAUAAGCUAUCUCAAGAAACCAUACAACAUUCACCAACCUGUUAAUUAGCAUAGUGUCCCCUUUCCCCGCAUUACUCUUUCAUCAUCUUGUCAUAAUUUUAUUUUUUGUCAGUAUAAGUAUACUAACGAAUCAAAUGACGUGAACCUAGAAAGAGAGAUGACGUUCUCAAAUUCUCAGCCACAAACAACCAUCUCUCUUUGGAAAAGGAUAGUAAACUAAAUAUAACUGAGGAAAGAAAAAACAAACCUCGAACCACUCUAUAAGCCUCCCUCUUGUAUUCCUCCUGUUCAUUGGCGUCAAAAACAGAAGCGUUGAAAUUGAUUACAGUUGGCCAUCAUUUGGGCAAUUUCCUUUGGAACGGAACCACCUUAUUCUUCGCAGAGCGCUUCACGGAGUCCCGAACUGGCACUGACAACGGAUUCGUGUCACUUCUCUAACCCCACGCAACAACCACCUCUUUUCCGCCGAGACUUCGGUCCCUCCGCACCACAACAGGCUUAUGGCUAGAUGUGUUACGACGCCAAGACGAAAACCUAGAAAUCAAUUAAGCCAAAAUCGUGAAAACAGAAAAGGCGAGGAAGGUCAAAGCCGCCGAAGUUCCGAGGAAAUGCAAGGUGGAAGGGCGACACGAAACGACAAACCUCCAGUUGUGGUCGAGAGUGACCAAGGUUUGCAAAUCUCGGUAAGUGUCUUUGCCAGAAGAUAGGAACCGUCAAAGUUCAGUUUGGAAAGCGGUUAAGGGAGUGAGGUCGAUAAGAGCUUUGGUUCAAAUGAGGAGGUGGAGGUGGUGGUGGGAAGAGAUAAUUUGUUGUGACGUCUGCGGCUUCGACUGCGGCGGCAGAAGGAGGAGCACACGACGGUGAGACGGCAAUGGUGACGGCAUGGGGAUGGCGGAGCGAACUGGGGGGGAAGGUGUUGACAGAGAACCCCACGAUCUUGUUCCUUAGCCUCUUCGAUGGUCAUGGGCACUUCUAGCUUUGUGAGGGAAGAGUGAACGAGAAUGAGAAUCUCUCAGUUUUUUUUUUAAUGGAUCUAGGGUUGUCCAAGCUCUUGUCCAAUUAAAACGUGCCACGCCAGCAACAAAAAGUGGAAACUCAAUGUUUUUAAAGACGGUUUUAAAAAAACGAUUUAAUUUUAGAAGAUGGUUUUGAAAAAAUGAUACAGUAAAGUAUAUUUAAAGUCAUUUCUAAAGAAAUUGCCUUUAAAAAGUUACAACUAUUUAAAAAAUGUCGCCGCUUUGCUUACUACAUUGACCUUUGUAUAACCGACUUAAAAUCAAUAUCAUAAAAUACUUUUUUUCUAGUAGUAUAAUUGUUUUAUACUAUAAUUUUAAACUAAUCAACUUCAAAACAUAUAUACAUGAAAAGUUGCAAGCGGAUGGGGAUGGGGAUAGGGUCUGCUCACCUCUAGAUCCGCAGUGGAUAAUAGCCUAACUUUUUGUUAUGUGAUAAAAAAAACAUUAAUUAAAUUAUAAAGUGAAGAUAAAAUUUACAUCCUUGUCGUUAAUUUAGUCUCAUUCAAAAGUGAAGCAUUCUCAUGUCAUGGACAAGCCUAAAUGUUAAUGAUUGACAUACAAAGCAAAUCAAUGUAACGCUCUGGUGGAAUUAUUACAAAAUAAUUCUUAUUCUACAAGGCAAUGUAUCAUUGGACUGCAUUUACGUUUGUUUUAAUCAAUACCAGAACUCAGAUUCUCUUACCUGCCAAAUUAUAAUUUUUUUACUGAGUUAACAGUUGAUACAAAUUUAGAUGUUACGAAAAUUAAAUGAAAUUCUAAAUCCGAAUUUUCGUAAAUAAUUCUUUUCAUAAUUUUAUUUAGGAUACGUGUAAAUAGUAUGAAUGUUUUUUUUGUUUUUUUAUAAAACAAAUCCAUUUUAUAUAUGUAUCCUUCUUUUUCCCCCUCGGUAAGGUAUAUACAGUAGGAUAUUUGCCAAUAAUUUUACAAAAAUAGGUAAAAGUAAAAAAAAUAUUUUCGUAUAAGGUGUAAGUAAUUUUUUGAGCGAAUUAGGAUAUUUUCUUAUCUAAAGCUACAGAAUUAAUUCCCCAAAAUAUUAAGAUUCAUUUUAAGUAGUUGAUAUAUCUUAAUAGAUAAUUAUUCAUACACAUAAAAAUUCAUGAAUAAGUUUAUUUAACAUUCAUGUUAGAUGAUAUAGUAUGAAAAUUAUUGACAUGUCAUAGGUUUUUUUUUAUAUCAAUUAUAAUUAUAAUUGAUGUAGAAAGUGACUUUUACAUCAAUUACAAACCUAAUCAAUGAAAAAAGUGAUUUUUUUAAAAUAAUUAGAUUACAUGUAUGACCCAUGUAAAAAAUACAUGGGAUAUAACUAGGAUAAAAAAAAAAUCACUCUUGUAAAUAAUUUUGCAGGCAGGAUUUUGGUUAGAGAGCAUCCACGGUUAAGGGAAAUCUGAAAUAUAAUCAUAAAUAUGUUACUUUUUUAAUUUAUUAUUUUUAAAAUAAUUACUCUUUAAAAACUGAGAGCACAUUUGUUAUUUCGUGCGAUUCGUGAUGCAUUUCUUCGUACAGAAUAAUAGCAAUCUUUUAUUUAUUCUUUUACGUGUGCAGUUAUGGACGUCUGCACGUUGGAAAUCAAAUAUUGACCUCAAAGAUAGCCCAGUACAAGAGAUAUGGCUUAGGCUUCACUCACUGCAUAUCCCCCCACACUUCCGCUUCAUUUGGUUAAACACCUUGAUUGUGGACGGCUGCCAUUUUUUAUCAGAUGCGGUCUUACCUUUCUGUUUACUUCCUUUAUUACCUAAAUUGAAAACAUUGCAAGUUCGAAACUGUGAUUUUGUGAAAAUCAUAUUUGAUGUGACAACUAUGGGACCACUCCCUUUUGCCUUGAAGACAUUGAUUUUAGAGCGGCUGCCAAAUCUGGAGAAUGUUUGGAAUUCAAAUGUUGAGCUUACGUUCCCCGAUGUGAAGUCAUUGGCACUAUGUGAUCUGCCAAAGUUAAAGUAUGACAUGUUGAAGCCAUUUACACAUCUAGAACCACAUCCUCUAAAUCAAGUCUGUAUUCAAAAGGUAUCAUUACUACUUCUAUAUAUAUGAACUAAAUUUCCAUCAUUAGUGUUCUUUACUACUUCUGUAUAUAUGAACUAAAUUGUCAUCAUUAGUGUUCUUUACUACUUCUAUAUGAACAAAUUGCCAUCCUGUUAAAAUUAAAAUGUUGUGAACCUUUCCCAUAUAUAUGCUAUGUUGAGUCUUCUAUCGAUCUUCUACGCAUAUUUGCUUCCAUUUUUUUUAUGAUUUAUCCACAUAAGUCAGAUAAUAGAGCUACUAUUAAAUAUUGAUCAUGAUGAAUUUAUAAUGGAACAUGUUGCAUUCAUGAUGUGAAACAGCAUUUGAGGUACGAUCCCUACUCUCAUUAUUUUCUUCUACAACCUUCCUAAUAAUCUCAUUUAUCACUUUUCCCGUCUCAAAAAUAUUAAACUCGAAAUAAAUUUGUUUGGACACAUAUCGACAUACGGUAUCAAUAUCCUUUCCCCACCUUAUAAAUAGCUAGCCUAGUUCGUCUUUUUUUUCUUUUAGCAUGAAAGUUCAUUAUUUCAAUUAUAUAAUAAAGAGCUGGAUCUAUAACUGCCCUAACCUGCUUUGUUGGUUUCUCUUCGUAGCUUACACCCAACAUAGAGCACCUGAUACUCGGUGAACAUGAACUGAACAUGAUUUUGAGUGGAGAAUUCCAGGGAAACCACUUAAACAAGUUAAAAGUUCUUACUCUGUCGUUUGAAUACGACGAAUUUCUACAACGGGUGCCCAAUAUAGAGAAGCUUGAGGUGUGUGAUGGUUUCUUCAAAGAGAUUUUCUGCUUUGAUAGCCUUAAUGUGGAUGAGGAUGGAUUGGUUUCACAGCUGAAAGUGAUAUGCUGGGACUCCCUUCCAGAGCUUGUUUCCAUUGGGUCAGAGAACUCUGGGAUUGUGCCCUUUCUCAGAAAUCUAGAAACAUUGCAAGUAAUCAGCUGUUUGAGUUCAAUAAAUCUGGUACCAUGCACAGUGUCUUUCUCCAAUCUGACAUAUUUGCUAGUACAAAAUUGCAAGAGUCUGCUAUAUUUGUUCACAUCCUCAACAGCAAGAAGUUUGGGUCAACUCAAAACAAUGGAGAUAAGUUGGUGUGAUUCAAUUGAAGAGAUAGUGUCUUCAGCAGAGGAAGGGGAUGAAUCAGAUGAGAAUGAGAUAAUAUUUCAGCAGCUCAAUUGUUUGAAACUUGACGGAUUAGGAAAGCUGAGAAGGUUCUACAAAGGGAGUUUAAGUUUCCCGUCCUUGGAGGAAUUCACAGUAAUCGGUUGCGAGAGAAUGGAAAGUUUGUGUGCAGGUACAGUCAAAACAGACAAGCUGUUAGAAGUGAAUAUUAAUUGGGGCGGAGAUGUUAUCCCAUUGGAAACUAAUCUCAACUCUGCCAUGCAAAACCGAUAGCCAUUUCUGUCUUUUUAAUCAACAUUAUUAUAAUUGUUGUUAUCAUACACUGUGUCAGAAAUUUGGAUGGAAAUAACUUUUUCUGAGGAGAAUGACUUUGCCUAAAUAACUCGCAAUUCGAGGCCAUGUUAAAUUAUUUUUAUCUUUAUUUAUGUACUAGUUUAAAAAAUUACUGAAUUUCGUUUUUACGAGUAUGCUAUGUUAAAAGAUUAAUUUUAAUUUUUAAGAGUUUAAUUACUGUGUCUAUAACUAAAAGUGCGUCAUAAGUUAUAUUAAUUGUUCUUUUUGUUUACUAUUACUUUUACCUAUAUUUCAAGCUUCAAAGUUUUCAACAUAUAACUUCGUCGAGAAAAAAAAAUCUUCAACAUAACUCUUGAUUGUAGUUGGAGUUUUCCACUUUGCUAAUCUCCUACAAUUAACAUCUAAAUCGGCUUUAGCCAAGGCCAAUAACGGAAUUGUAACUGCUGUACUGAAUGAAUCAUUCGAUUAUUUAUUAAAAUUACGAAGAGUAUCCGUGCGAAUAUUGUCCCUAUUAAUUAUUUGGGAGACUUUUUUUAAUAUAUAUAGCCUGCUAAUCAUGUGAAAACGAAACCAUAUUUGGUGUGAAACGUGCAACACAAGACAAAAUCAUGACUUCUACAACAGGUAUAUGUUGACAAUUGUAAUUGCCAUAAAAGUGUGUUUCCCGAAUCAGUAGGCAAAGAUCUUGUGAAACUUGAAAAUCUAGUUAUUGCAGAGGAUAAUGCAAUAGUUGCAAUAUAGCCUGCUAUAAUCGUCUAAUCGAUUGCCCCUGGAUGAAAACUUUCAGCCCUGUCAACAACUGGUUUUCUGCAGCAAAUGAUUUGAGCUUUAUUCUCUCAUUAAUAUACAGUCAAUCAUAUAGAUUACUAACACACGCCAUUAUCAUACAGUGUAAUAUGUUAAAGGAUCUCAAAUCUUUAUAACUAAACAAUCUCUUACCAACCAUGUAAACUAUUUUUCAUUAUUUUCUUCUCCGUUGGACCCUCAAUAACAUCUCCGUAUUGAUCUCAUUUAUCAAAAGUUUCAUCUUAAAAUUUUAAACUCUAAACAAAUUUGUAUGCCCACAUACAAUAUCAAAACCUUUCCACCUUAUUAAUAGCUAGCCUGGUUCAAUUUUUUGGCUUUUAAGUAAAUUAUAUUUUUUUUUCUUUUAAAAUGACUUGUUUGCACCUAUUUAAUUGAAAAAAUUAAUUUCUCAUUAACUAUCAGGCAUAUUUCAGUAUGAAAGCUCAUUUUUCAAUUAUACAUAAAAGUGUUGGAUCUAUAACUAUCCUAAACUGAUUUUUCUCAUUGUUAUUGUUUUAUGUGAUUAUGAAAAAGCUUAACAAUUUAUAAAGUUCUUAUCAAUUAAUGUGUGAUUCAAUAACUUGUUCCACUAGGACGAUGCAUGCAUUAUAUUUCAUGUGAACCCAAUAGCUUACUAUUCAUAAAAAAAAUCCCAACCUAUCUUAUUUAACCUUUUGUAAUAUGUAGAGAUUGUUGUAAUUUGAAGUAUAUAACAAAAGAUCGAGUCCCAUAUUGUUGGGGAUAAUUUUGACUCAAGUUUUUAUAUAUCAGUUUUGUGGUAUAGGUUUAGAAGCUAACUAGUAAAAAAAAAAAAUCUAUCGUGCAAGCAUUCUCAUUUUCCUCAGUAUUCUUAAUUUGAGUUUAGCUUACCAACAUACAUCUCAGCUGAAAUUGCUCGAGACAAGAAGUUGUUUAAUGUGGUGGCUUUUUGAGAAAUAACAGACAACCCCAAUCUAAAAAAGUCCAGGAAAGAUAUUGUUUACGUGUUGGGAUUGAGAUUGGAAGAAGAAGGUGAGAAUGUAAGAGCUGAUACAGAUUAGACUUGAAUAGGUUGGGGAUUCCACUUGAUGGUGAUUAUAAGGGCUGCAAAAUUUUGCUAACUUCAAGAAAUAAAAACGUAUUAACUGAUAAAAUGGAAGUUAAGUCAACUUUCUCUGCAGAGAAAUUAGAUGAAAAAGAUGCUGAUCAAGUUGUUUCGGAAGGAGGCUAGAAUAUAGGGUGAAAUGUCAAAGUCUAAACAAGAAAUUGUUAAAGUUCAGGAUUACCUAUGGCAAUAGUUAUAGUUGGAAGGACAUUGAGAGACAAGAGCAACUCAGUGGGAAAAACUUAAAAACAAAGACCAGGUGGGAGAUCAGACUAAUAAAAAUUAAUCUAAGCUCCCGAUGACUACCGAAGCAUCCAAACUAACAAAAAUUACAUCAAUAAUGAUCCCUUAUGCUUUCAGCAUUAAAUGGAAAAGAAUUGUUGUAUUCGUGUGUCGGAUACAGCCGGGAUACAACUUUGAUACGACUCACGUUGCUUGGAUACGACUCUCAUGUUUCUUUGAAUAUUUUAAUAAUAUUAUUGUUUAAACUUUAGUUACGAUUUUUAAAAUAAAUAAAAAGUACAAACAUAAACAAAAACACAACUUUUUGCUUUUCUCAAAACAUAAACAAAAACAUAACAUAUCAUUUUCCUCCGAGCAUGAAAAGUCCUUUUUCGGCAAUUUUGAACUUUCUUUUAGUGAGGGAGUUUAUUUUUCUGGUCUCUCUCCACACAAAGCACAAACCAUGCUUUUAUUGAACAUAAUCUUUCUGCCAACUAUGAUUGCUAAAACAUAAUCCGCAUAUUUGCAGUGUUUUAAGUUUUAACAACUCUCAGUAUCAUUUUCAUAAUUUCAUUUUAACACCAACAUAUUGACUUUUUUUUUAACAUUCAUAUAUAUAUAUAUAAAGGAAUGUUAUAAAGGAAUGUUAUCAUCAUAUUUUCAUCGAUUCCUAUUAUAAGGUAUCUAUUAUUAGUAAGGCUUAAGGUAUCCUUUAAUCCAUUAAAUAUAAAAGUUAUUUUUCACAAAAGAUGUAUCUUUAUUAUUUAUCACUAUUGUUCAUAAACUAGGAAUGUUACUCUUCCAAACCCUCCUCGACAGAUCAAAACAACCCAUCUCACACGCUUUGCGCUCUUCCAGAGUUCCACACGUUGACAACCCCAUCAGAGACAGUGCCGUAAGAGCAACAUCACCUCCGUGACAAGUGGUCCCCCUCAUCUGACUUUAAAAAAGGCUAUACAUGCAUGCAGAAUCAAUACACAGCUAAUGAAUUAAAAAUUUAGUAGAUGUGAAUUAAUGGGAUGGAAUUAAUGUGUUUAAGAUCAAGUUUGAGUGUGAAGCUGGCAAUCUUCUUUCUUGUGAGAAUAAAAGAAAAAUUCUUCGUUAAAGACACAAAUAUACAUUCAAACUUAUAUCUUUUUUAUGUUUUUUAAAAUCUGAGAUGCCUUUGUAAUUUUUAACACAUGGUUACUUGAUCUGGUUUUAGUAAAUGUAUUUUGAUUUUUGAUUGAACAACUAUAUAACAUUCUUUAAUUUACUCAUUAGCUCUUGACGGAUCUGUUGGAGAAGAGAUGUAAUUGUACCUAGUACAAGAAAAUCAAGAUCAAAGCAUGAAGACUGUGUCCAGCCAGUAACUAAUUCUGUGUUGGAUAUGCUUGAAAAGCAAGUGGAUUACAUCCGUUACAGGCGAAACUUUGAUGAACUAGAAGUGUGUUAAUUUCCUUACUUUAGGAACGAUGAUGACCACAAAAAGACACGGUUUUCCAAUUGUUUAUUUCCUUACUUAAUAAUGCAAUGAGGACAAUUGAGACAGGCUGGCAGGGAUGGAUCAUUCAUUUAUAAGCUUAAACUGAAAGAAUCUUUAAUUUACACCCGUGAAAGAAAAAGCCAGGACCACUUCUACUCUCCAUUAUAUCAACCUACUUCCCCACUUAUUUCGUUUACGUCCUUAGCUGGGGCAUCAAUUUGUUUAUUUAAUCCCUGUACUUUUUAUAAAAAUGUUAUUUGUGGCCCAUCAUGAAUAUAUAGAUAAUCACCACAAUUAAGAAUGCAAUGAAGAUAAGAUGACAAUUGAGAUAAGAGGGAAUGAACCUUAAGAUAUUUUUACAUUCCAAACACUCAAACAGGGAGGAUCAUUUCUGAUCGAGUAUGUUUUCUGGUUUCUUUCGUCAUGCUCUCAGUAUUCUCUUGCUCUUUAACUUGAUCUUGGUCUUCUUCGGACUAGUAGUACGCCAUCCAUAUGCUUAAAUCAUGUUUAGCUUGCCAACAUAUUUCUGCUUUCUUCCUAAAUCUGCUCUUUUUUUCUCACAUUCAGUUUAUUGCUUAGGAUUUGGAAUAGUGACAAGUAAAGACAAAUCACAACUCACGGUCAUCCAAUUCCAAGAAUAGAGGUUUGCUCCUUUCUUUAUAGCUUAUUAUAUUGGCUACUUCUUUUGUUCAUUUAUUCAAGAUUUGAAGAAAUUUCACUCAUAAAGAUGGAUAUAUAAAGUUCUCGUUUAGAUCUUUCAACUCUCAUGGCUAAUUUAACAAAAAAAAUAAUACAUUAUAAUUUUUUCCUAAUUUAACUGGUAGCUCUUUAACAAAAUUUUGACAAAAUUCAUUUCAUUCAAAUGUCCAAUAAUAAGCUUUAAGAGGCAGCAGCUUCAAAACGAGGGGAAUAUUCAGAAAUGAAUGCUCAUAAAUAAAUAUAUUUGCAGGCUAGCUUUUUGUUUCUUAGUUAUCAAUUUGGUCUUCAAGGUUUAAUUUGAUUUCAAAUUUCAGCGAUUUUAUUUAUGAACAGUGGCAAUUAGUAUAUUUAUUAUUAGUUUAAAAAAUAAAACAAAUUUCAUUUCUUUUUCUUCUUGACUUUUGGUUCUGUGCUUGGUUUCAUCCUCGGAAGGAUUUCCCAAAGCAAAGUGGUGGUGCCACGCCACAGUGGUCAACUUUUGAGUGCGUGUGGUUUGGUUGGGUUAAGCCAAAGUGCGGAGUGAAGAAGAAGAAAAAAUGAGAAUCCUUUUAUUUUUUUAUAUAAUAAUAAAUAUAGUGACGGAAGAAGAAGAAAUGAUUAAAUAUCGUCACUAUUCAUAAACAAAAUCAGUUGAAAUUUUUUAUCUUAAGGAUGCCAACCUAAUUAGACGGAAAAGAGCAGAUUGGUCUGUUUUGUCUAUUUUAAAAUAAUUUGUGAUUAAAGUGAAUUUUUAAAAAAUUUGGAACCAAAUUAUACCUUUUAAAAAAUAAUUUAGGAACUAAAUUGAUAAUUAAGUUUUUUUUAAGGAUGCUCCAAACUUUUGGAUUAAUAAUAGUGAUGUAUAUUUUCAUUAUUUAACUAUAUGCUUUAUAAUAUAUAGUUUAUUAGACCUACAACCGUAUUCCAAUUUAGGUUUUUUUUUACCUAACAGGGGUAGUUUUAUUUUUGAAAAAUUUAUCAAGAUGAGUAAUUUUUGAAUUUAAUAGGGAGUUAUGAUUAAGUUAUGUUUUAAAACUUAACUUUUAAUAAACCACAUGCUAAUGUGCACAAAAUAAAUGAAAUGCAUGGAUAAAUGCACACACUUAUCCAUUUUGAGCGUCCUUGUCUUACAAUUGUUUGUGAUCAUCAACAUAUAUAUGUUAAUCAUUUGGAUAAAUUAUUUUUAUUAUUUAAAUAAAUUAUUUUUUAGCGUCUUGGUCUUGCAAUUGUACUGCAAUCAUCAAAAUAUAUUUAAAAUUAUUGAAUUCUAUUUAAAUAAAUUAUAUUUGUCAUUUAAAAAUAUUAUUGAAAAUGAAAGUUUUUAAACCAUGGAGUCCUUCCCGUUGUUCAUUGAUUAUUAAAUGAACUUGUGAAUUUCGAUUAACAUUACUACUUAAAAUCAAAAUUAUCUAAAUAAACAUUUAAUUAUUAUAAUUGUAUAUUAUAUCGCGUUUUAUUACUUAAUAUGAAAACUAUCAAAAUUAUUUUUUUAAUUAUCAAAUUAUAUACUACCUCCGUUCUUAUUUAUAAAAAACAAGUUAUACUAUAAAAAGAAAUAAAGAUAAUAUUAAAUAAGAUUAUUCUAAACAACAUAAUUUUGCAUUAAAUAAAAUUGUUAAAAAAAUAUAUAAUCAUUGAUUAUUAUGAAACUAAGGUUUCGAUAAUUGACAAACUUUUAUUCAAGUAUCUCUUACUAUAUGUUUUUUGAAUAAAAAAGUAACAUUUACUAUAAACUAGAUUUUAAAUCCAUGCAUUGCAAAAAUUUCUUUAAUUUUUUUUAUAUUUUACUUAAUACUUUUUAAAAUAUAUAUUUAUCAAUAAAAUUAUUAUUUUUAAAAAUAUUUAUAUUAAAUUUGAGGAAGAAGAUUAUCUAUAUUCUUAAUUAAGUUCAUUUAUAAAUACUUAAAUGUGUUUGCGCUAAACAUCAAAUUAUGGUACUAUUCAAAUAAUUUAACUUUAACUUCAAUAUAUUAAUUAUUUGUGUUCAAUCGCUUGAUUAAAGAGUCUUCAAUCUACACCUACCAUAGUAUUUAUAGUUUGAAUAAAAUUAAAUUAAAAAAUAAAGUAUACUCAUAUAUAUAUAUAAUAACUUUUAUUUUAAUUUUUAUCCUUAAUUAUUAAUUUUAAAAGUAUAUAAUAAAUAUAAUAUUAAAAAUUAAUAUGAAAAUGGUAUAAAUUAACAUUUUAUCAUCAAAAUUAUAUAUAAAUAGAAUUAAUGUUAGCAAUUUAAUUUUUUUAUUAAAUGUAAUUAGCUAGGAGCAUUAAAUUAAAUUACAUCCGACUACUAUUACAAAGUUAAAUAAUCAAUCUAAUGAUUAGAAAACUUCAGUUGAACUUUAUUAUAGAUAUAAGAGAGAUAACUCUAUAUAUUAUUAUUUCUCAUGAAAUAUAUAUUAGAGUAACUAAUGUAGAAAAUGAGCAUAAGUAGUGAUAAAACAUUUAACAUUACUACUUAAAAUUAAAAUUAUCUAAAUAAACAUUUAAUUAUUACAAUUGUAUAUUAUAUAGUGUUUUAUUGAAAAUGAUCAAAUUUAUUUUUUUAAUUAUUAAAUUAUAUACUACCUCCGUUCUUUUUUAUAUAAAAAAAGUUAUACUAUAAAAAAAAUAGAAAAUAUUAAAUAAGAUUAUUGUAAACAACAUAAUUUUGCAUUAAAUAAAAUUGUUAAAAAAAAUAUAUAAUCAUUGAUUAUGAUGAAACUAAGGUUUCGAUAAUUGACAAACUUUUAUUCAAGUAUCUCUUAUUAUAUUUUUCUAAUAAAAAAAGUAUGAUUUACUCUAAACUAGAUUUUAAAUCCAUGCAUUGCAAAAAUUUCUUUAAAUUUUGUUAUUUUACUUAAUACUUUUUAAAAUAUAUAUUUAUCAAUAAAAAUUUUGUUUUUUAAAAUAUUUAUAUUAAAUUUGAGGAAGAAUAUUAUCUAUAUUCUUAAUUAAGUUAAUUUAUAAAUGCUUUAAAUGUGUUUAUUGUAAAAAAAAAUAUUUUUUAGAAUUGUUGAAUAGUGUGAUUUUAUUAAUUAAAUAUGGUCGUUAAUUAUGUUUAAAUGUUUAUUUAUUUAUUUAUUUUUAGAAAAUGUUUGUAAUCUCGGAAAAAGAAAAAAUGAGUUGGUUUUCUUAUAUUGAAUCCUCAUAUGAAUAAUACAUACAUUUUUUGUAUUGUUAUAUUUGAAAUGUUUGAUUAGUGUUUGAGUCAUGUGGUAUUAUUGCUUGUAACAUAGGUUGUAACAUAGGUUUAGUGGGUCUAGAACCAUUUGCAAUUUCUUUAAAAAUAUUACCUGAAUGGUCGUAUACCGUGUCCAUUAAGUUAUUGAGCGUUGUUUUAAUGAUUUCAGUAUUUACAAGAUUAUUAAGAGUGUCCUUUUUGGAGAAUGUUAAUAAACUCGAUUUUGAACAAACAAUUAACAUUUAUCAUUAAAUUUAUUAAUAUAAGAAGGAUUAAUAUAUAUGUUUCAAACUUUAUAAGGAUUACUAAUCAUUAAAAUUGUUACCGUUGUCUUUAUAUGUAGAAAAGAGGAUAUUUUUUCACCUAUAUUAAGAGUAUGCAAGUCAUAUUUAUUUUUUGCAUUUAGUAGGAUUAUAUUGGUUUUUUAAACUUUAAUAUUAAUAAUAAUAAAAUAUGCAUAACGGUUAAUUAUAAGAUAUUCUGAUUUUUUUUAUAAGUUGAUGAAAAGGGCAUUUAGUAGGAUUAUUGAUUUUUUUGUUGUUGUUCAAAAUGGGAAAAGAUACAUAUUUGGUAAAACAUACAAACAACUAUGCUUUUGUAUUAUUAGAUUUAUUUAACUAUAAGCUUUAUAAUUUAUAGUUUCUUAUACCAUAUGUUUGUUUAUCAUAUUAUAUAGUAACUCUUAAUACUUAGAAUUAUCUUCGUACGGCUAAAUCUUACAAAAUACAAUUUUUUUUACAAUUAUGAGAGACAUAGAAAGAAAUAGUAAAAAGUAAUUAGGAGUAAAAUGAAUAAUAUAAAAGAGAAAAAUAGAAGAAUUUUUUUAUAAAAAUUAAAAUUAAUAAUAAAAACAUACUGUACAAAUAAUGCUACUUUUACUUAUCCAUUACUUAACCAAGCCGUACAAUUAUUAAUUAGAAUUUAUAAAAUAUAUUGAAUAAUAUUGUUUUGAAGAAGCAUUCUCUCCCUGUAUUCACACCCCUCCUCCAAAGGUUGUUCCUCUACCAAUCCUCUUUGAAAAACCAGAAAUCCAAUUGGCAUCAGUGUCUAUGACAGAACAUUGAAGCAUAUCACACAGAAUAUGAGAAACCUUAUCUAUUAAUUUAGUGUUGUCAUCAACCCAUUAAUCAUGCCAAACACUAGCAAUGGACUCCCACAGAAAUGAGUCUGAAUUUUAAACAAUUAAAGAGCUCGGAUUGCUGUCAUUUCUGCCAUAUUUUCCUUUUAACACUUGCACCCACAAGCUAUCACUUCUGAUCGAGUAUGUUGUCUGGUUUCUUUCGUCAUGCUCUCAGUAUUCCUAAAUCUGCUCUUUCUUUCUCACAUUCAGUUUAUUGCUUAGGAUUUGGAAUAGUGACAAGUAAAGACAAAUCACAACUCACGGUCAUCCAAUUCCAAGAAUAGAGGUUUGUUCCUUUCUUUAUAGCUAAUUAUAUUGGCUACUUCUUUUGUUCAUUUAUUCAAGAUUUGAAGAAAUUUCACUCAUAAAGAUGGAUAUAUAAAGUUCUCGUUUAGAUCUUUCAACUCUCAUGGCUAAUUUAACAAAAAAACAAUAUAUUAUAAUUUUUUCCUAAUUUAACUGGUAGCUCUUUAACAAAAUUUUGACAAAAUUCAUUUCAUUCAAAUGUCCAAUAAUAAGCUUCAAAACGAGGGGAAUAUUCAGAAAUGAAUGCUCAUAAAUAAAUAUAUUUGCAGGCUAGCUUUUUGUUUCUUAGUUAUCAAUUUGGUCUUCAAGGUUUAAUUUGAUUUCAAAUUUCAGCGGCUUUUAUUUAUGAACAGUGGCAAUUAGUAUAUUUAUUAUUAGUUUAAAAAAUAAAACAAAUUUCAUUUCUUUUUCUUCUUGACUUUUGGCUCUGUGCUUGGUUUCAUCCUCGGAAGGAUUUCCCAAAGCAAAGUGGUGGUGCCACGCCACAGUGGUCAACUUUUGAGUGCGUGUGGUUUGGUUGGGUUAAGCCAAAGUGAGGAGUGAAGAAGAAGAAAAAAUGAGAAUCCUUUUAUUUUUUAAAUAAUAAUAAAUAUAAUGACAGGAAGAAGAAGAAAUGAUUAAAAAUCGUCACUAUUCAUAAACAAAAAGAUGCCAACCUAAUUAGAUGGGUUAAGCCAAAGUGCCGAGUGAAGAAGAAGAAAAAAUAAGAAUCCUUUUAUUUUUUAAAUAAUAAUAAAUAUAAUGACAGGAAGAAGAAGAAAUGAUUAAAAAUCGUCACUAUUCAUAAACAAAAAGAUGCCAACCUAAUUAGACGUAAAAGAGGAGAUUGAUCUGUUUUAUCUGUUUUUAAAAUUUUAGAACCAAACUAUACCUUUUAAAAAAUAAUUUAGGAACCAAAUUGAUAAUUAUGUUUUUUUUAAGGAUGAUUCAAACUUUUGAAUUAAUAGUGAUGUAUAUUUUCAUUAUUUAACUAUAUGAAUUUAUUACGGAGUUGUGAAUAAGUUAUGUUUUAAAACAUAACUUUUAAUAAACCACAUGCUAAUGUGCACAAAAUAAAUGAAAUGCAUGGAUAAAUGCACUGACUUAUCCAUUUUGAGCGUCCUUGUCUUACAAUUGUUUGUGAUCAUAAACAUAUAUGUUAGGGAUCAUUUGGAUAAAUUAUUUUUAUUAUUUAAAUAAACUAUUUUUUAGCGUCCUGGUCUUACAAUUGUACUGCGAUCAUCAAAAUAUAUUUGAAAUUAUUGAAUUCUAUUUAAAUAAAUUAUAUUUAUCAUUUAAAAAUAUUAUUGAAAAUGAAAGUUUUUAAACCAUGGAGUCCUUCCCAUUGUUCAUUGAUUAUUAAAUGAACUUGUGAAUUUUGAUUGAUGAAAUGUAUUUCCUUAAUUAGUUAUAGACUGAUAUGGUUUUUAUUUAUGUGGGGAAGAGAUGUAGUUAUAGUAUCAAGCUGACAGAAUGGAGUCUGUGUUGUCCCCGAUAGUGGAACGAACCUUUAAUUUUGCGGUGGACCCCAUUAUUCGGCAGUUGGCCUACAUCCUCCGUUGCAGGCAAAAUGUUGAUGAACUCUUGACUAGUUUUGAGAGUCUUGAACUUGAAAAAGAGUCCAUAGAUCGUCGAUGUGACCAAGCUCAGAAUAAUUUACAAAACAUUGAAGCCAAAGUCAAAGAAUGGUCAAGGAAAGUAGAUGAGUUCAAGACUGAACUAGAGAAGUUUAGGAACGAUGAAGGCCACACAAAGACAGGGUUGUCCAAUGUUUUAUUUUUAUUUCCUUACUUUUGGAAUAGGCAUAGACUUGGCAGACAAGCUAAGAAGAUGGCAGAGAUUGUCAAGAAUCUAAUAGAUGAGUCGGCCAAGUUCAAUGAUGUUUCCUACACAGACAACUUAACAUUUAAUGAUUUCACUUUGUCUAAUCCGGGCUACAUGGGAUUUGCUUCUAGACAUUCUACAGUGGAAAAAAUAAUUGCAAAACUUGAAGAUUCCUCUGUAAGAAUGAUUGGGCUGCAUGGGAGUGGUGGCAUGGGUAAGACCACUUUAAUCAAAGCAAUUGCUAAGAAAGCUAUGGAGAAGAAGCUGUUUAAUGUGGUGGCUGUAUCAGAAAUCACAGCCAAUCCCAAUCCACAAAAAAUCCAGGAAGACAUUGCUUACCGGUUAGGAUUGAGAUUGGAAGGGGAGGGUGAGAAUGCUAGAGCUCAUCGUCUGAUGACGAGGUUAAAGCAAGAGAAGGAGAACACCCUUAUAAUCUUGGAUGACCUUUGGGACAGAUUAGACUUGAAUAAGUUAGGGAUUCCACUUGAUGGUGAUGUUGAUGAUAAUGAUUUAAACACGAAGACAAGCAAUGCUAAACAGGGUCCCAAAGAGGUGACUAAAGAAAAAUCUCUUGGUGAUUAUAAGGGCUGCAAAAUUUUGCUAACUUCAAGGGAUAAAAACGUAUUAACUGAUAAAAUGGAAGUUAAGUCAACUUUCUGUGUAGAGGAAUUAGAUGACGAUGAUGCUCUGAGGUUGUUUCGGAAGGAGGCUAGAAUACAGGGUGAAAUGUCCAAGUGGAAACAAGAAAUUGUUAAGAAGUACUGUGCAGGGUUACCUAUGGCAAUAGUUACAGUUGGAAGGGCAUUAAGAGAAAAGAGCGACUCGGAGUGGGAAAAACUUAAAAACCAAGACCUGGUGGGUGUUCAGAAUUCUAUGGAGAUUUCUGUAAAAAUGAGUUAUGACCGUCUAGAAAAUGAGGAGCUCAAGUCCAUUUUCUUUCUUUGUGCUCAAAUGGGUCAUCAACCCCUAAUUAUGGACUUGGUGAAGUAUUGCUUUGG